UCCAACACACUGCAUAAUAAAUAUAGUAAUUCAUGAAAAAUAGGUUUAUAAAUAGCUCUUGAACUUGCAAUCAAUAUUUUCCAAAGGAAACAUCUUAAUAAUCAGUGUGUCAGUCGCAAAAAUAAGUAACUUGGAAAUUUUGUUUCAUUACUAUGUUAGAUAGUUUGAAGUAGAAUCUACUUCAGGUUCAGAAGCGAGGCUACAAUUUCAUCAUCAUCCUCCAAACCCACUUGUUUAUGGAGCUUUUACGCCUUUGUCAUGAGGUGAAUGUACCAAUAUCUCAUACCCUUCACCGGAUGUUUCUUAACCAGAAGCUCAUAGCCAUAGCUAGAAUACACUUCAGGUUCAGUAGCCAAACUUCAAUUUCAUCAUCAUCCUCAAGUCAACCUGUAUACGGUGCUUCUAUGUCUUCGUCAUGAGGUGAAUGUACCAAUAUCUCAUACCCAUCACUGGAUGUUUCUUAACCAGAAACUCAUUUCUGUAAGCCUCCCUAAGCACAACAGUCUGAGUCCUAAUCUUAUUACAGAUGUAAAAUAUACCAGGAUGAUGAACCAAAGCCUUCUUAAAUCUCGAGCCCAACCCCAAACACUCUCCAUAACAAAUCAAAUUUUCUCUUUCUGUCUUCUUUGACACUAAAAGAGAAAGCAACUCAUGCAAAAUUGCCACUGUCCACUUCUCUGCCUGGUCACUAUUCGAGUCAAGAUGAAAUGCAUUUUCGUAUGGAGAAAUGUAAGGCAAUGUUUGCCAACCCUCAACCCAAGUUUUCACCCUUUUCUCUAACGCAAAGCUUGUGGGCAAAAACAUGGGAAAUGCAAUAUCGUUUCUUCUUUUAUCUGCACCAUAGUUCAAGCUCAUUACCCUCUUCUCUAACUCAGACACGGCAAGAUCUUUUCUCCAAGAAACAAGUUCUAAAGCAAGCACUUCUUCCCCAGACGAUGGAUCUUUUACCACACAAACAUCAAAAUAAUCAGGGUAAUAAGCCAAAAGAGUUGUAACAUAAUCAUAAGGAAGACCCAUAUCCCAUUUUAGCUUCUCAAUUACAUAAAUCGGCAAUCUCGCCAUGCCAGCAAGCAUUAGAAGCCUUGCCAACCUCCGAGCAGUCUCUUCACGGUUAGUGGGAGAAUUAUGUACUUCCAUCUCUUCUUUAUGGAGCGAUAAAGCUUGAGUAGUGAGCUUGACGCGUGGGGGGAGACCAGGACUCGGUUGGAAUUGAGAGAAAACAUGACGAUAUUUCUCAACGAAUUUGAUAGUUGUCAUAGGAAGGUCGAGCGAAGAUUUCAACAUAGAGGCAUUGUAGAUGGAUAAGGAUUUGGAAGGAGACGAAACAAUAUGGUUCUUGAGAGAAAUUACGUGUUUGAGAUUUUUCUCUUUGAGAACUGCAGUGUCAAGAUCGGGAUCUCGAACCCAUUUAACCCUCGCAUUCACGAAAGUCCUAAUGUGGUUGAACUGGUGAUAGAGUUUGGAGGAACGAGCCAUUAACAACCAGCUCACUACCCUGUAAAGUGGAAACACUCUGUCAUAGGGUAGAAAUUCUUUUCUAGACUAAAACUAUAUAACUUUUGUAUACAGAUACUAUAAAACUACUCAGAUCAGUUAUCUACUUGGUCUUAGCAUUAGAGUUGAAACCAUAUGUGAAUUUAAAAUAUUCAAAACUAUUAAAUCACACCGUUGCAAAUUACUGAAAAAAAUCAUAUUAUAAUAAUACUUUAAAACCCUAAAAGAAAAAUCAGAACACGAUUAUAUGGUACGCUAUCGCGACGGAAUUAGAUCCUCGGGUGCUAUAUGAAAUUGGAAAAUCUGGACUCACUGUUUCUGGCGGCCGACGACGGGAUGCGCCUACGAUUUCCUGCCGGAUUUAACUGAAUUUGGCGAGUUGAGAUCAGUGCGAGGAAUGGAACUGCAUUUUUGUUGUUUUGGUAGAGCGGUGGAGUUUCGUUCUUGCAAGUUGCGAUAAAUGACACUCUUUGAAGGAGAAGAAAGCAUACUUGUUUUUUAUAUUUAAUUCUCAAACUUCAGUGUUCAAUUUUGCUUAAAAACCCAAUUUUCAGUUCAUUUUACUUUAUGGUCUUGUAUUGCUAAAAACAUUCUUAGUAGAGGGUUGCAAAAGAGUAUAUGUAUCCACGUUUUUUUUUGUAUUUCUGAUAUCCUUCUUCAAUUAUGAAGAUCGGUAUUUAUAGAUGUUCUUUUGGAUUUGGGACUAUUAUGUUAAAGAAAGAUAUGAGUAGUGGAAAAUUAUUUUUUUCAUAGAAUAAAUAUUGAACACAAUGUCAUAAAUAAUAUGUACCACAUAAAACAAUUUAUAAUAUAGUAGGAAUAUAAUACAUAAAGUCAUAAAUAAAACAAGAGAAUUGUUAACUCAUAUCAAUGCAAUAUCAAUAUCUUAUAUAUUUGGGGGUUUUAAACUUUAGAAAAAAAAAACUCACUCAUAGUAGUAAUAGUAUAAUUAAUCUUAGAUGAAUAAACCUUAUUCAAUGUCUAUUUUCUAAUAUUACCCGUGUCUUUCUAUUUAGGACUUCUCUUAAAUAUGAGAAUAUUUUUCACUUUCUCUCCGUCACUAUCCUAUUGAUCAAUGUUUUCAAAAGAUUAAAGAUGUUGAAUUGCAACUCAACUAACAAUCUACCUCUAUGUCUUGAAUAUUUAGUUUAGACUUCUUUAGAGGUUUACAACGAACAAUAAGAAUACAAAGACUCAAAGAAAAAAACUUUAUGGUGUAUGCUUGUAUGCAUGCUUCUCUAGAGGUUUACAAAGACUUUUCUAAAGAUGAGAGUCUUCUUAAAUAGCAAGUCUUCUGCUGGACUUGGACAAUGAAUUCAAUGCAACCAGAUUUGAUUUGAGGACAUUUUACCUGGUACCCCAACAAUUGUACCCAUACCCCUACAAUUAAUUUUUUUGGACCAAAAUACCCUCAUAUAAAUAGGGUAUAUUUUUCAAAAAUGAAAGUUUUUUUCAUUUGCGCUUGAAAACUUCCGGAAGAUAGACACAAAUAUGGUAUCUAUAUUUGUGGAAAUAUGACAUCUAGAGACAUCUUCAUUUCACAUGUCGUUUGGUGAAAUGAGCAUUACUUUGGAUGACGUCUCAUGUCUGCUUCACUUGCCCAUCAGGGGUGUCUUCUGGAGUCCUCAGGAUGUCAAUGAAGAGAUUGUUGUUGAACUUGCUGUUGACUACUUAGGAGUGUCACAUGGUGAGGCACAAUCACAUGUUCGUAGCUACAGAGGUUCUUAUAAUAAAUUGGAGUGGUUAUACGAUUUAUUCGUACAACAUAAAGCCGCUUCUAGUUGGGCAUAUGCGACUAGAGCAUAUUUGUUGAUGUUGGUGGGUUCCACAAUUUUUGCCGACAAGACCUUUACACUUGUAGAGGCAUGAUAUCUCCUACUGUUUACGGACUUAGAUAGAUGUUCGAGAUAUAGUUAGGGAGCAGCUGCAUUGGUUAUCCUAUACAGAUACCUUAGAGAUGCGUCCAUGUUUAGUUGCAAGCAGCUCGAUGGAUAUCCUACUCUCCUACAGGUAUAUAAUUUAAUUUUGUUUAUUAAGUGUUGAAUUCAUUUUAUAAAGUAUGUUAACUUAAUUUAUUUUGUUUAUUAUGUUUUUAUUUUGUACCAGUGAUGGAUUCACGAGUACUUUUCAACUAUUGAAAAAAGAGGAGAGAAUUGGAAACCAGCUGAUAAUUGUGGUCUUCCUCGAAGGAUGAGAUGGUCCUAUAGGCAAGGAGUCCUGAAGGUGGAUGAUUUACGACCUAUUUUGGACGAGCUGACACCUACCGACGUCAUAUGGCGUCCAUUUGAGGAUUAUAGAGGAUGACGUCAAUUUGAUGAGUUAUGUCUUUACAGGGGGUGUUUGAAGUGGGGUGACACAGUUGUUCCAUACUUGCCUGACAAAUGUUUACGUCAGUUCGGGUACAAGCAGUAUGUUCAAUCCCCACCUCUUGAUUGUACGAUGGCUACUGAUAUUGAUGUUGAUUGGAUUGGUUACCAUCAUAGCAUUAUUGUUGUGAUCCGUCCAACUACCCUGACCACCACUCCAUCUGAUAUAGAAGAUGGUUAUCUAGAGUGGUAUUAUUGUGUUUCGCAUUCACGUUUGGUCCAUCCCCAUCGUGACGAACCAAGAGAGGUACCAGUUGUUGUUUAUGACACAGGACCAUCUGAUCCUAAUUAGGCUCGUGUAUCUACAUUGAGUCAUCGUUAUCUGAGACAAGUUAAUGCCGAAGAGGAAGAUCCAUAUUUUGCUGAUUUAUUUGAAGCUUUGCAUAUUUCUCGCUCGCAUUGAUUUAUGUAUUAAGUUUUAGAACUGAAUAUAAUAGACAUAAUAUAAUAUUCAUGUUUUGAUUAUUAUCCAUGCUAAUAUAGGCGUAAGUAAUUGCCAAUGUUGUAGGCAUCCUGCAAAUCCUAACAUCCAAGACGUUGCUGCUUGACAACGAAACUUCUUCCAAUCUAAUGUGACCGGUGGCAAUGGAAAUCCCUCUUUCAUGUUAACCUGAUAACAAUAAUUAAAACAUAUAUUUAAUAAAGUGAAAUAGUUAAAACAGUAAGUCAUAUAAAAUCAAAUAUGUACCUGAACCUAAUGAUUUUGGUUAACAAAAUCAAUGCAAUAAAUGGAGACAUUUGGUGAAUGUGAACUUGUCAUGGGAAAGAAAGUCAUGCACGGAUUGCCUAAACAGACAAGUACAACAUUAUAGCGAUUCGCUAUCAAGUAACCUAUAUCUGGUAGAGUCAACCAUUUUUCUGGUGGUUGUGAACCAAAUGAUUCUAUCAUCAAAUGUUCUCUCACUUCUAACAACCGAUUACAAAAUAACUUGUCAUACAAAGUUGACCUAUCCUUGUCUAUGGGUAUCGGUAUACCACCUAGUGCAUAUCUUCCUAACUCACAAGCACAAGGUAACCCAUAAGAUGUUUUAAGAGUACAACCACAUAUUUGCAUGUUAGUUUCAACAUAAUCAACUCUCAAUAACUCUUCAGCAAUACGUCUCAAAGCAGCUCGAGACACUGAACCACGCAAAUUACCAUAAAAUAGACUUAUGUGCGCGUACUCAACUUUGUAAAAACGUUUUUGAAAAGAAGCUCUAAUGUUACCCAGUUGUAAUCUCAAGUUGUUAUUCAUAGCUUCCCAACAUUUGACUAUGUCACCUAUACUGUUUCAUAACAUCUGUUUUAACUUCCAAUGAGCAGAUUCAACCCUAAAAAUAACAUAUUGAAAAUAUUAAAAAUAUCACAUAUAAAAAAAUACAUAUAAAAAAUUAUAACACGUACCGAUUAGUCGUCGUGUUACCCAAAUGUAGCACUCGAUUAAUCCAUGCUCCAACAAAUCUAUGUCUAUAUGGAGUCAACCAUGUGCCUUUCACAUAAUUAAUAAAUCCACUAUAAUCAACACAUGCCUACUCAAGUUGACGCAACCGCUGACCAUACUCAACCUCAUCACUAUCCCAAACAACUUCCAUCCAUAAUGUGUCUAUCGUCUUUUGCAGGUCAUUCACCACGUGUUGUUUGCAUUUUGCACCAACGUUUUUGUUAAUGUGAAAUCUAUAUAGCAAAUUAAUCGACCUGGGAAACACAAUUUCAAUUGCUUUCAUCAAAGCAAGAUCUCUAUUUGUCAAAAUCACGUGUGGACACAAAUCUUUCUUCACAAACAAUUCUUUAAGUUUCUCUAAUACCCAGCAAAAAUUCUUUGUCUGCUUAGACUCCAUAUACGCAAAUGCAACAGCAAAAGUCAACUCGGUUGAUGUCAUGCCAACAAUUUCAAACAAAGGUUGCCUAUAUUUGUUUGUCUUGUAGGUGUUAUCCAUAACUAACACAAUAGGAAAAAUAUUCAACAACUUAACUGAAUCAGGAUGGGCCCAAAAUAUCUCUCCCACAACUUCCGAAUCAUCCUUUUUUCUACUCCAAUACACAUAGCCUACAUCCUCAAUAAGCUUAAACAAAUAUUGUAUAUCACUUCUAGGAUCUCUUAUCUCGUUUUGUAUCACACUCUUAUGCUUGUAUAUUUGCGUAAUCCGAGUGACAUUCUCUGGAUCUUGGUCUUACAAGGAAAGCAAUAUGUGUCUAGGUGGUACAUGUCUCCUUGUCAAAUCAGCGACAUGUUGCUUCUCAUCUGUGGUCAACCUACCAACAAAGGAAUGACAUUCUAAUCUAUCAGGUAAACCAUGAUUAUGGAACCCACAUUUUACAUAAAUCUUCCAACCAGACCCAUCUUUCGCGGGAGUUGACCUAAUUUUAAAUGGGCAUCCAUAUUUCUUGGACACACUUUGGGUUCCACUAUCAGUAUCCUUGUGUUUCCCACCUUUAUCACAACCAAAUAUUAAUUUGUUACUUCUCCCUCUCUUGCCUAUUUCAGUAUCUGAACGAGUGAUAAUAACGGUUACUUUGUUAUCGAUUCCAACCUCUUUAAUCCAUUUGAUCACCUCUUCUCGUGUACCAAAUCUUCCAGUCGUUAAAAACGCAUCAGAAGUAUCUACACAUAUUUGGGGAAGAUUUUCCAUUCAUGUACAAUAAAAAAAUGUCAACAAAAAAAAGUUUAAAAAAAAAGCAAACCGAAAGUCUUCAAAGAAGAGUUCCGGAAUACAUAAAAAUAAUACCGGAAGACUUCAAGGAAGAGUUCCGGUAUGUGUCACUAUGUUAACCGAAACUCUUUUGAUAAGUGUUCCGGAAUGUUUUUUUUAAAAAGAGUCGUAACUCUUUCAAUAAGUCUUUCGAUUUACUGUUUGUAGUGUUCCAGAUGUCUUUUUCAAAGUCUUCCGGUUUGAAAAAAAUACAUACCGGAAGUCUUUUUCCAGGAGUUCCGGUACGAGGAUGGAAUGUGUAAUUUUCGGAAGUAUCAUCUGAAUGGUAAAAAUGAAAUAGUAAAUUGGUUAAAAACAAUUAAGGGUAAAAUUUGUAUCUUUAAAAAAUUGUUGGGGUAUGAGUCUAAGUGUAGGGGUAUGGAGUAAAAUUUUCUUGGUUUGAUGCUAAUUUAAAACAGAUGCAGAUUUGAUUUUCUUAUUCAUUAAUGUUCACUAAGAGAUUUGAUCUCAUUCAAUUUGAUUUGGUCUUGGACAAUCUUUUAGUCCAUCUUCCUUAAAUUCAUAAUGCUAAAAGAUACAAAACAUAAAUGACAAAUCUUCUUGGAGUCAAUCAAAGCACGUCCAAACAUACUCACUUAAUUUAUUGUCCAUACUGAGGACAUAUGUUGUACACGUGUUGGGUCAUCUUGUCCCACAUGUUGCCUCUUCACAAAUUCAUCUUGUUUUUCCCGUGUUGUUUUAGCUAAAGUAGCCAACAAAGGAACAAAAAUCUCCUCUUUUGAUAAUUUUUUGCUAAAACAACUUACAACGUUUCUACAAGAUGUGCAGGAGUAAAUCAAAACAAUUCUCAUUCAGGAGAAUACACACAUACACAUAUAUCUGAGUAUACAACAAUAGCAAGAUACAUCAAACAAGCUCACAUAGUUGAAGGUUAGAUGUCAAAUCUGAUGUUUCAGCAUAUGAGCACACAACUAUUAAAAUAGAGCACAAAGUAGCACUUCACAUCCAGAACUUACGCAACAGCAGAAGAUAACACACAUAACAUGCAAGGCUUACAACACAAGCAUGCAUGCAAGCACACACCAUUACUCCUAUUUUUUGCCAUAAUUUAGAAAAGGUUAGACAAAGAAAACCAGAGCAUCACAAAAUCAUAAGUUGAGUACUAAAUCAUGAUUAUAAUGCAAGAGGUUCAUUAUUAAAGGAUCAUUACAGAACCACAAAAAAACACGCCCAUAUACAAGAGCCAAAAUACCAUAACAUCAUUCUUUAAAAUAGUUGUCUUCAGAAGCAGCACAACCAACUCCAGCUUGAUGACCUCAACCUUCAGAGCUUGAUUCUUAUUCUUCAAUUGAGGAUUAUGAACUUCCAGCUCCCUAUUCUUCCUCAUCAUCCUCUUCUUUGGACAUCAUUUUAAUCAGCCUAUCCAUAUUUUUCUUUCUUAAGGUGCUUGAUCUGAUAGUUUCUUCAAGGAAUUUUGAUACUUCCUUGAGUUCAAGCAGUAUAUCCUUCUUGGUGGUUUUGGAUAAAGGGAGAAAAUUUACAUCACCAACUUUAUCUUAAUUUCUUGACACCACAAUGUUUGGAACAUGUGUUUCGACAAACAACCUAUAAUUAAGAGUUAGUGGCACUUCCUUUUUACUUUUCAUUUCUUCAGUAUGCACAAUAUUAGGGUGUUUCUUCAAGAUAAUUCCAAUUAUCAACCAAGGAAAAGCUACGGGAAGCUUCACAACAUAGAAAUUCAUAUGUUUCAUGGUUUGGUCAAACGCAUACUCUCUAAAUUUUAGCUUAGACUUGGUUCCUAUUUGAAAGAUCAUUUUAGCCAAGGCAAAAGUGGUGCCUGAACUAUGAUUUAUGGGUGCCCAAUUGGUUGCACCUAUCCUGUUUAGUACUGCAUAAUUCACACUUAGGAUUCUAGAAGGGAGUAUGUCUUUCUUUGGCCAUUGCUUGACUUGUCCAACAGUUAUUUCUGAAGUUAUCUUGUCCAUAGAUGAUACAUCAUCAGAAUCUGCAGACUUGUUUCUUCCUAAAUACUCAUUUAUGAUUUCAAGUGAGAAUUUCACACAAUAACCUCUUACAAAAACCUUCCUAAAUUAUUUUCUUCCUUCAACCUUGCAUUCAUUAGAUAUGUUUAUAAUGAACUCCUUGACCAAUUUCUCAUAAGAAAGACUAAUGUUUGACACAAGCUUCAUUAGUCCAACAUCAUUCAGCAAAUCUACAAUUUCUUGACAAUCAAGAGCUUCUUUGCUAAGCUUUAUUUCAUAAGCAAUUCUUCUCUUAAACAUAUACUUCCAUUUCUUCACACUUGCUUCUGAGUGGAAGGAUACAUUAUCCAAAGGAACAACUGGAAUAUUAACAUGAAUUCUUUUUCCUCUAAUCUUUCUCCUAUAAGAGAUCACAAUGUCCAAGACAUUUGGUUCAUCAUUUGUCUCAGAGUCACUUGUUUGCAUAAAUUAUCUAUUUAAAUACUUCUCCUUAGUAACCUUUCCCUCUACUUUCCUCUUUUUCAUGGGAUUUUCUUUAGGAGUCUUUUAUUUUGCCUUCUUAGCAGACUUAUGAAUUGCUUAUUCUUGUCUUUGACUCUAUCAUGUACAGAUUUAACAAUCCUUCUCAUCACAGCCACAAUACGUUCUUCAUUAGUUUUAGUUUCUUCAUCAAUAUUUACCACAUGUUUAUCUAUAUUUUUCUCUUGAGACUUUGUAAAUUUUUCAAUAAUCCUCUUCAUGAUAUUGGGGCAAUGGGAAUAUCAUCACCCUUAUUGUCUUUAUCAUUAUAUUUACUUUUCUUACUUUUAGCCUCAACCUCUACAUGAUGAGGUUCCGUACCACUCAAAUCUUUAGAUGAAGUAUCAUCCAGACGGGUAUUGUAAUGUUAUAUUUGCAAAUAACCUUGCUUAGGACGACAACUUGGGACUGCCCUAGGAAAGGGGUGACGACGCAAGGCUUCCCGAAGGGAGGUACCACCUCGCCCUCUACAUUUUCCUCGCCCCUGGGAGAAUAAACAUGGGAUAAUACAUGUCUGGGAUAAUGGGAAAGUCAAGAUAGUUACUAACCCAUGUAUCCCUUUAAAAUAAGAAUUCAAUAGUCCAUCUUUUGACUAGGUGGGCGGCGAACUUUUCCAAGAAAGCCCCAGGAAUAAGGAAUCCUUAUAAAUACCUCAUCCCUCAAACGGAUAAAUACUCAAGUGAUACACACUUACUAUGACUCAACAUUACUUAGAGAGCACUCCACUCCGAGUAACCCUAACAACAUCAUUCUAACCACCUACCUACAACCUAGUCGUGUUGGUUGCCAGCAGGGCAUCUCACCUCAUGCGAGUUGGUACUUUAAAUAGCCUCAAAAACCACCGUACAUGGAAACUUGCCACUGUGAGAUAGACAUCAUCUCACUCGUGUAAUAUACCUACUAGCGCCUCUGAGUUUCCCUAUCCUUGCAGGGGGAGCACGCACACACAUGUACAUUUUUAGACAAUAUAAGUAUCAAACACAGGAAUAUCCAUAGUUGGUUCAGUAGGGGGUUCAGUUUGUGGUUCAUCAGAUGUUGAAACAUAUGUUUCAUCAUUUGGUUCAACAUAUGGAUCAACAUGUGAUUCAACAUGUGGUUUCACAUGUGGUUCCUCAAGAGUGAAUUCAACAUGAUUAAUGAUUUUCCCAAUGAGGUUGGAAUCAAAUUUCGUAGCAACAUGCAUAAGUGGUUUCUUUUCAGAGGUACUAACCUUUUCAGAUGAUUUCUUCUUCUUUGUGGCAACACUCUUUGAUCUACUUGUUAAAUUGUCAACUGAAACAACCAUUUAUAGUAGUACAUGGUUGAGAAUCAUAUCACGUUCAUCGAUAUUGUUGUUUGAUCUAGAAAUCCUAGAUGUCUUCUUUGUAGAAAUUUAUCUCAUAUCUUGACUCCAAACAUCUUAACCCCAUAAGAAUUUAUAAUUGCCUUUGGUUCAUAUGAAUUAGCAUCAUUAGAUCUUUGGCUCAUUUUUGAAUGUGUGUGAAGAACUUGAGAGUGAGGGAGAUAAAUGUUUUUUUAGAGAGAGAGUGGGGGGAGAGAAAGAGAGAAGGUUCACGAGGUGGGCAAGAGUGAAUAAUUUGAAAGGGAAAUUUGAACUAUGUAUGAUUAGUUUAAAGUCACAUGUUCCAUAUAUUUCUAAAGUAGUGUCGAGUUCUAACUCCCUUAAUUUGGAAAACAAAAGUCAUAUGAUUACAUAUAUUUCUAAGGGAGUUUCGAAUUGUAACUCCCUUAGAAAUAUCUCCAAUGACAUUAUGAAUUGGAUGACCUUUAGUAGUCCUCCACUCUAUGGUAGGUCUUAAUUUUCUAGGUUUGCUUCUUCAGCUUGAGUCUCUUCAUUUAUACUUUGAUUUUAUUUUUGACCUUGAUCUUGAUCAGCAUCUUAUAAAGAUAUUUUUCUCAAGGAUACAUGCACAGUCAAUGACUUUUACCUCUAUAAAAAAGGGGGAAAACUCCAUAAAGAUAAAAUGAACUUUUCUAUCGUCAAAUUUUUCUUAUUUUUUUAAUCAAAUCACUAAUACAUAUAUCUAUUUAUUUUAUUUUAUUUCUCAUAUAUAAAAUAUUAUUAUUCAAUAUUAUCAUAUUAAAAUACUAUAAUUUUUAUAAACAAUUAAAAUGCUAACAUUAAAAUAUAUUACCAAUAUUUUAUAUCAAUCUUAUAAAAUUAUCACAUCUUAGAAAAUACUUAUAUAAGAGAAACUAAUCAAAUGUCACUGUAGCGGUGUAUUCGUCGCUAUAUGAUUUAUUGGUUAAACCAUCAGCAAAGUAUACAAUGAAUUCGAGUCGCCACCGCACUUUUAUUUAUCCUAAGGACUGGUUAAAAAGCGAACAAAAACCUAAGAAGUUUUACACGUAGAAAACCAAUAAAAGAUCAGAGAGUCUGGUAAGGGGUAAUUACGCAAUGGGAAGGUGUUAGGCACCUCCGUCCUAGGUACUCCCUAGGGGCCUUUUCCCACUUGUGUAUAAAAAUGUUUAUUUUGUUCUUGAUAUUGUGCAAACAUGAAUGAGAUGAUGAGAAAAGAAUGUACAGUUGAGUUAUUUUUGUGUUCACGAUGAACCGUUGCCUACGUUACCUUCCAUCAAAGGUAAGGAUCAUAUAGCCCGUAUUCGGCUAAAAGAUUUCCAAACAUGUGAGUUUUAUCCACGGGAGAAAACUCAACCUUAUGAAACAACAAGUCCACCAUGUGAGAAAAGCUUCCACUUGCUAGUGAGGGGUUAACCCUAUAAUAAGCAAGGAAGACUUACAAUUCAAUCAACUAAGGACUAAUAGGUGAGAUUAACAUCAACCAAUUAGGAUAAAUCAAACCUACGGCUAAUGUAUGAAAACUUAACAAGCAUGGACAAAGCCACAAAACAAUUGAAUGAGUUGGAUUAAUGGAUUAUGAUUAUUCACAAAAGGAUGGUCAAAGUAUGAUUAGAUUGAUUCAAUGAAGUGUUAUGAAAAGGAGUUUGAAAAGUCAAGGACUUAGGGUCCAAGUUUCUAAUUUGAAAAGAGGAUGAGAAUGUUUGCACAACAUGCAUUCACAAGUUUGAAAAAUCAACAAGUGAAAAGGGAUUUUGAAACAAAAAGGGUGUGGAUGGAGAAGUGUAAAACUUCCUAGAAGUUCACCUCUUGAAAUCAUAUAGAAGAUGAUUCAAGUGUGUCCUUAGGAAUGGGGCAACAAAUGCAAGUAAGCAAAAUAAGGUGAUACCGGAUGCCAUCAAUGGUCUUAUACCAAUCUCACAAACAAAAGCGGAUGUCGGAUACCAAUAACUGGGUUUACACCAACCUCCUAAAACAAAACAAUGAUACCGGAUGCCAUCAAUGGUCUUAUACCAAUCUCACAAAGCAAAAAGCGGAUGUCGGAUACCAAUAAUUGGGUUUACACCAACCUCCUAAAGUAAAACAAAACUUGGAUGUCGGAUGCCAAUCUAUCUGGACUUAUACUAACCUCCAAAGUAUGGUCAUAGGAAUACAAAUGCCACAUCACAGGGACUUACAAUUGCAUCCUCUCAUACAACAAACAAGAGCAAAGAAGAUAUGAGUGACCAAUGAGGUCUUACACUCUAUCCUUCCAUAUCAUGGUGGCAAUGCCAAUUCAACAUGGACUUACAUUGUCCUCAAUGGGCAAACAAACAUGAUCACAAGGAUUGCAUAUGAAUCAUACAAGAAUUAACAAUCACUAAUGAUGAAUGGACAAUGGCAAGUAAGCAAUCAUGUUCUAAUGAAUCAAAUAUCAAUCCAACAAUUCAAGUAGCACACACUAUACAACACAAUUGGCUCAAUCAAAGGUUUGACUUAAAAGUCCACUGGGAAUGGUGAAUGGCGUCUAACCUUGACAUGAGAGCAAGGUGAAGCAGAUGAAAGGAUAUGAUGGGUGUGCCUCAUCACUCUUAUCCCUGGUCAGAGAGAGUAUUGAAAUAUCAGAAGGUGUGGAGUUCAGAAAGAUGGAACUCUCUCCACAAGUUAGACUCGAUAGAUCUUGGGUAUUUACUCACUAUGCUCAAACACAGUGGUUGAGCAAGGUGAGUGACUCACAAUAGUAGGAGAUAGGCUACAUAUCUCUUUUGUCUACCAAUUGCCUCAUAUGAGGUCUUUACCUGCUUGGGGACAAAGUAAAACAAUCACAACAUCGCCUCUUAAGGAGGAUUCAGACAGUUGCCUGGCUAAAUAACAAGCCAGGUCUUCCAGACUACAUGGAGACAAGAGAGCUACCUCAAUGCUUAGCAAAGCAAAGGCAAAGCUAGUCUCAAGGAGCUAAAGCGACUAUGGUACCUGAAAUCAAUCAAAUAUAAUCAGCAUCCCAAUCACAAAAUCAAAACAAACAACAUAAGAAUCAACAAACAAUGUACAAUCAAACAAUGCAAUGUGCAAAGCACAAUCAACUCAAGUGAGCCAAGCAUCCUACAAAAUAAACCAAGUUAGUUCAUAACAAGUACAUAAACCAAACUCAAUCAACUUACAUAAAUCUCCUUAAAGCAUUUUGCUUCAUAACCUGAAAAUCACAUUCAAACAUGAGAUACAAGACCACUAGGACAAGCCUAGGGUCAAAAGGAGAUCAAAAAUUUAAAACAGCAAGUGAAAAAUGAUCACAACCAAGAUAAAUCAAACAAAAAGGAAUUCCAGCUGGUCCCAUAUCCAAAACAUUCACCAAUUGCAUUCUAUAAGCUAAACAUGUCAAACUAUGCAUUUUAGAACCACAUUGGAGCAAACAGAAUGAUCACAAUCAAACCAAUAUCAAAACAACUCAAUAAAUUCCACAAAAAUUCCAUUCUAAACAGAACACAUUCAAUGAGCAGCAUAUCAAAUUUCAUGUUAUUUGGACCAGAGGAAGUAAGGAAAUUAAAUCCAAGAAGUCAUGGCAUGCAAAAAUCAACCUAAACUAGGUCACAAAUCAAGUGUCAACUUCAAUCAAUUGUAAAACAGUGAAAACAAAUGAGAAAUGUAUGGGACCAAAGCCAAAAUGAAGUUAAACAUGUUAAUAAACACUCCACCAAAUUUCAUCAUCAUAUGAUAAGGGAUAAGGAUUUCACAAGAUAAGUAAGUUGACUACUCAAGAAAAACCCUAAAAUGACCAAACAGCAAACAAAAAUCCCAAUCAAAUAGGAAAUGGAUCAAUCAAAUCCACAAAAAAUCAUGGUGAAACUAGACAUACAUAUGAUAUCACAUGCAAAAACUCUGGGAAAUUGGCACAGUGUAAGCAUAAAAAAUAAAAUCAUGAACAUAGCAUAACAUAGUGUGACAUACAUUUUCACACUCAUGAAGAUCACAUCAUAUCUCUUAAUCCAGAAACUCAAAAUUAUCAAACUAUACAUCAAAAUCACCAGGAAAGAGUCAAGAACAAGCAUGUGAAAUUUCAAUCAUUUUGGAUAAUGCAUGAUUAUUUUAUGAAGGAAAUGGUAAAACAUAUGCACAUAUCAUACAUGAUCAAGAUCAUUAGGCAAAUUAAAAAAUGCACCAAGCACAACUUUAAUUACCAUGCCUAAAAAAAACUAGACAAAUUUUGGAACUCAACAAAAAAAUCCUCACUCAAUUUGGAUUAGAAUCGAUUUAGUUAUGAUUUUUAGAAGUUAGGUUAAGAAAUGAAAUAAAUAUUUAAGUUUAAAAAUGAAUUAAAUGAAUGCUGAUGGCAAUUUUGUAAUUCGCAUGGCCAGGGGGCGAAACGCCCCGUUUCACUUAUUGCAGUGGCGGCACGGUAUUGGUCAGGCGCGGCGGGAAACAGGUUUUUCAAAUGGAAACGCAGGCGGAAGGAUCUAACACGCGUUUUGGAAGAGAUUUUCGAGCGCUCUUCGCGUUUCUCAUGCUGUUCAUCAUCAACAUCACUUUUUGGCACCAAAACUAACAAACUAUAUAUCAUUGCAAUCGUCUCAUCAUGUACAUCAAUAAUCCAGCUAGCAUUCGUUCUAAUUCUAACCAUAUCAACGGGAUCGAAAUAAGUUUCACACUCAAAGGUUCAAAUCAAGAUAUCUCAUGCGAUACUCAAUGAAAAUUCAUGAUUCGAGUUGCAGUAUAUUGUAUGUCGCAAGAUCUAUCUAAACCACAUGUUGAUUUCAAGAAUCGAAGGAAUCGAAAAUUUACCUUGUGAUUGUGCAGCUGUGGAAAUCGCGCUUGUUAGGUCUCAAUUGAUGAAAACAGAUGGAGUAUAAUGUUGUAGAAGGUUGAUGCAAGGUGCAGUUCAGCUCAAAAGUGCUUGGAUCAAUGGAUUUCGCCAACUGCCAUGGAUGGACAAUGCUUUCAACAGUUGGUGAUUUGAUCGAUUCUUGCUCCAAUUGCCACAAACAGCACUCCAAAAUCACCUGCAGAUGAUGAAUGUUGCAAAAGAAAGCACAAAGAACAAUAGAUUUUUGAAGAAUUGGUGAAAAAAAGUGUAUGUGAAAAUGGAGAAAAUUGAGAGAAUUUUGAGAUUUUGUGAUUUUGAUCUGAAUUGUGAUUGUUGAUCCUGCAUUUUCUGUUAGGAUUAGGCUUUUAUACAAUCCCUUAAUCCAUGCUUUAAUCAUGAUUAACCAAAAAUUGGAUGAUUAGCAAAAUGAGCUUGUUAUGGAAAUUGGCCAAUUUGCCCUUGGAUAGCUUGAACCAAUGGAAUAGUGAAUUUCCUUUUGCAGCAAGUCUCAAAUCACAUUUAGAAGCUAUUCCAAUUGGUUUCAUGUGAAAAUUCCAUGUACUUUGAAAUUUGGCCUUUUUUCCCACCAAAAAUUAAAUGGUUCACUUGAAAAAUGGCCUUUUUAUGUGAAGGUUUUUGGUGAAAUAUGAUGAUGGAUUUGGAUAGUACACAUCAAAUAUGGUUUGCUCAAAGAAGAAUCACCCAAUUUGGCCUUUCCAUUCAAAAGUUAUGGCACUUUGAAUUUCAACUUUUUCUGAAAAUGAUUUGAUCAUAACUUGCCAACCACAUAUGGGAAAUGAGUGUUCUUGGACUUUUUGGAAAGGCAAGAACAAGAUCUUCAACUUUCAUGUUGGACAAAUUUUGAUUUGAAGCUUUUUUGGACAUGUAAUUUUGAGGAGCAUGACUUUCCAUUUUUGGCAGGUGAAAAUUACAGGUCAUUUCCAUUUUGGGAAACUUUUUGUUUGACCUCAAAUCCUUCAAUGAUGAUCUUUGAAAUGCCAAAUGAGGCUUAUAUGGACAUGAAUGAGACCUUUCCAACCAUCUCACACCUUCAAAUUCCUGAUUAAAUGCACAGUUGACCACAGUUGACUUUGCUAGGGUUUUGGUUGACUGAGUCAUGUUCUGAGGAAUUUCAAACCUCUUUCUCUUGAGAUCUUGAUACCAAAUGAUAUCAUAAGUCAUAUGAACCUCUGAUGAAUGGUCAUGGUGCCCAAAUUCUUCAAGAAUGGCCACCAUCUAGCUCAAUGGCUGAUUUUGACUGUUUGACUGAUGAUUGCUUCAGCUGCAAGUAACAUGGUUAGAUGACAAUAUUUUUGUACUUUUGGUUAGUAAACAAUGAAAAGCAAUGACAUACAAAUGCAAUACAUGCUUGGUGAUCAAGAACCACACUCACAAGAUAACCCACCCACUAGGAGGGAAACAAAGAUGUACAAUGAUCCUUGAAGCAAUGAAUGUCAUGUUAUGAUGCCUUGAGGCCAUGAGGGAUCUUAGGGCAAAAAUUGGGGUCUUACAGUCACUAAUAUAUAAAUAUAAUUUAUUGUAAAAUAAUAUAUUAAAAUAAGACAAUAACAAUAAUAUUAUAUAUUUAUUAUUAAUCUAAUGCACACAAAAAUAUUCAUCAUAAAUAAUAGCACAAACACUUCACAUAGAAUCAUCUACGAAUAAUAACUACUAAUUCAUAAGGUGACAUAUUUAUACAUAUAUGAAAAUUAUAAUAUGUCAAAUUUGGGGUGUUACAUAAAACACAUUAUGCAUAGUGAUGAAAAUCAAUAUUUUAAUUUUGAUAUUCCAAAGACCCCUUCUUUCGCAACACAUGUACAUAUUUCAUAUGAAGAAGUUGAUAUAUUUUAUGUGCAUGCUAGACAUAUGGAAAAACUAACAAGUAAAUAUUUUUUUUAUAGUUUAUUCAUAAUUUAUUGUUUGUUAUAAUUUUUAAGAGUUUAUACAUGUGUGUCAAUAAAUGUUAUACUGACAUGUAUUAUUAUUUGAAAUUAUAGGUGUUUAGAGACAAGACACCUAAAGACGUAUGAUCACAUUCUGGAUCUUGCUCCAUUCAGAAUAAUGAAGCUAGUGCACAAUAAUUUUGUUUGUUGGUUGUUUACUUGUUUAAUAUACUAGUGUAUAAAAUGCAUGUCAUUUUGGUGCCAUAUUGGUUUUGAUGUAAUAAUAUAUAUUUUUGGUUCAUAAUAGUAGACAUUUUAGUUUUGAUUCACAAAUGUAUUAUUUUUUUUAUGGAGAUUCACAAAUAUAUUGUUGAUGUGUUAUGAUCUGUGUUAGUUCAUAAAAUUCACAAAUGUAAUGAGAUUUAUGUAAAUUCAAAAAAUAUAUAUUAAAAAAAAACAAUAUAUUUCAUCAUGGUUGGUUCUUUCAACUAUAGUAAAAAGUAGUGUGGUAUCUAAUUUUUAAAAAAAUGCUAAAAUUGUUGUCGCUAGGUAUGAAAUCCACCAGUUUAUUACCACAACCAAUAGUCUGUGGUGGUAAGUAGCUCACUUACUAUCUCACCCUUUGUUACCACAAAUCAUCACCCGUGAUAAAAUCAUAAUUCCAACCGUGGUGGAAUAUACUUUUUGUAGUAGUGCUUACACAAUUUAAUCAUCUUUCAGCUAAUAAUUUUAUAUAUGUAUUGACUAACAAUUUUUCAUCUGAAAUUGGUAUAUAUUUUUGUUAUGCAUGAUAGCAAGUCGAACCCACUCCAAGAUCAUACGCUUGGUCGAGUGAGAGUCAUGAUCUGUAACUUUAACAUGCCAGACCCUUCUCCUCUCCAAGCUUUGAUGUUUGAUUGAAUGAGAGUCAUGGUCCUUAACUUCAAUAAACGGAAUCCCUUUUCCAAGCUCUUAUGCAUGGUUAAGUGAGAAUCUCAACACUCUAUGAUACACCCAAUUCUGGACUAGCCAUCAGGUCAUCAUGCUAUGACAUCACGUCCACUUCGAUCUGAGGAUUAUUCCUUGGGCCAAGGGCGAGAACAUUUAUGUUAUGGUUGACAAGUUGUUCUCAGAGACGAUAGGAUGUUGAUAAGACCAUACACAUAAAUAUAAAAAACAUUAUGAAAGUUUAAAUUUGAAAAAUAAUGCAUCAUCUUCGACACCAACACAUAGGCAAAAAAGACAUUAAAGGCAAGACUAUGUUUCAAAGACAACAUUGUCCCGAACCAAUAAUCAAUAUAGUUGAUUUAAUCGACAACAGUCCUAACUCUUAGGGAGUCCGAGAGAGUCGGAAACACCAAUGAUAUCAAUGCUUCAGGACCACAAGAGAGGGAGACACCACACAUCACUAGAAAAACAAUUAGUAGCGUCAGCCAUUUGAAGACGCUAAAGGUGAACAAACAGACACUAAUAUGCGUUUAGUGUCGAUGUCGGGCCUUGGAUAAAACUUGUGAAGCUACUGGGUAGCAUCAGGUACAGAUAAGUUGAGGCUAACCAGCCUCGACUAAACCAAGGCUAAGAGGACACUAAAUGCCCCAAUGCUACAUUGAUUCAAAAACAUGAAAAUUCAACAAUUAUGCUUAGCGUUGCCCUAGCCGACUCUAAAGUCAAUAAAUAAAAGUCAACAUUUUCUAAUAGUAUCGGCUAGCCGACGUUAAGUUCAAUUUAUAAAAGUAAAAAAAAUCUAUAACAUCAGUUUGACCGACCCUAAAGUCAACAUAGAAAAGUCAACAAUUAUAUUUAACAUUACCUUGAUCGACUCUAAAGUCAAUAAAUAUGUAUAGUCUACAUAAAAAAAGUUAACAUUUUCUAAUAGCGUCGACUUUGCCGACUCUGUAGCCAACCAAGAAAAGUCAAUGAAACUAAAUAGUGUCGGAUCAGCCGACUCUACAAUCAACCGAGAAAAGUCAAUGAAAUCUUUUAACAUACCUCUAGCCGACUCUAAAGCCAAACUCAAUCACGAAAAGUCAACAACAACGUGACUUCAACUUCAAAGAAAAUCAACCUCACUCAAACAAACUUAUUCAAUCCACUCCUUCAACCGAAGAAUAUCAUAUUUAUGAUAAAACAUUCAGAAACAAUCUCAAAUUCAUUAUAUUAUACAUUAUGAUCAUAGACUCAGUAACAGAAAUUAAGGAUGAACUCAUUGAAUAGAAGGAUAAUACCAUAAUACAAUAAUAGUAUUCUGAAUAGGCAAAGUUCCAGACAUGCACCACCUCGUUUAACAAAUACGGCUAAUUGGCAUAUGCAUUACUCUAAAACCAAAGUCAAAGUGCACUUUCUAGUAAUAAAUCCUAAGGCAAAGUAACUCAUUCACAUUAACACAAACUUAUUGCAGACUUAGUUUUGAAUGGGAGAUCCAUUUUUUAAAUAUAUAAGCAAAUACUUUCAUAUGAAGCCAAACUCAACUGCAAAUUCUCCUGACACAGACACCGACAUAUUCCGUCGCUGAACCCCUGUUUUUUCAGGUUGGAGUACUCGCACCGCUUCUGACGGAUCAUUUCCAUAUACACAAUUCUAAUGUUAAAAAGGAUAGAUUAGGACAUAAUAACACAUUGUUGUUUUUCCUUGUUGCAAGUUGUAUACCUCAAUUCUUAUUACAAAUAUGUUGAAAGAAAUAUCAUAUAUAGUUGUCAAUAAUACCAAACUUAAGUAGUGUGUCUUCAAAAAAACUUAACAAAGGAACUGUCAAUAGUAUAAGAAUUUCCUUUUAUUUCAACUCAUUGGCAAAAACAAAAUAAUCUCACUUCUCAUAGAUUUUACUAUAUAACAACAUCAUUAACAAAUCAAUAUGAAUGAUAAUUGUAGUACCUCAAUGCAUUUACCAUUCAAAAACAAACAAAUGCUAUACUCAAUAAUACAAACAUACCUGUCACAUUCUGAAUUAUAUAUACUGAUAAUGAACUAUUGGCUAAACUAUAUGAUUAAGCCUUAGAGUUCAGUAAUAAUAACACAACAAUAACCUUCAUUGUCAAAAUAUGGACACUAAAUUGAGUAUAGUUCCUUCGCUACUCAGAGGUUCCAACUUUACUGGCUAAUCUUUGGAACAAGUUAUAGGUUUCACAGUAAAAAAAAGGUACACCAGUAUUAAUGGCUCUGCAUAAUUCUUCAAUUUUGGAUCAAUUUACACAUAGAUUGAUGACCUGAUAAAGAUAGAAGAGUUAAAGUUCACUAUAUUACAUCAACAAUUGUCUUCUAAAAACAAAGACACUGCUGCAAUCUAAAAACUUGUGCAGAAUUAAAUUACCUUCAAGUAGCUAUAUAUCUUUAUUGUUGAUAUCCAAGAUGACAAUGCUUUUCAUGCCAGACUUGCAUCCAAGAAAAAAUACAUCUUUGAGGGUGGAUACCACGGUACAGAUGGCAAUUUAACAUCAUGCAGAUCAUGAUGGAAAUCCAUAAUACUUUUUUUGUGAUCCUUAUCCUAGAAAAGGAUGAAUUGAAGAGGAAAUUUCAAGUAUGCUAGAAAUAUCCCACCCAACAGUAUCAUCAAGAAUGCACAAAAAUAACAGCUAACUCUAAGUAAAAAUAAAAGAUUUACCAACACUAGUGUGAAGUUGCAUGAAAAUUGCACAAUACUGAGACUAUUUUAAACCGUCAGAUUUACCAAUAAAAUAUUGACAGGGUACUUCAUCCUCUAUGUUAUCAAUCUCCAUGCGACCCUUUAGUUUUGUAGUGAUUGCCGCACACCACCCACGCAUAUCUCUACACAUUUAUAGAUAGGGAACAUAAUACAUUUGUCUUGAAUUUUGCGCAAGGAUGAAGGGAUCAUAAGGACGAUAACAUUUAUCCAUCUUAAUAUACAUUGAACCUUUGUACCUUUAUUCUUUGUUGGGUCAAACCAUUCACAAUAAAAACUGGAAUCUUCUCCUUCAGACCAAAGUAAUCUAGCUCAAGAUAUGUUUGAUUAUUCCAUAAAAAUCAUCUUUUCCUCCUUCUGCAAGACCUUUCACGUGUACACCAUAAUUGACAGUUUUUCUACCUUUGUUCCAUUCUUCAAAAUGACACUUGUACUCGUUGAUAAAAUACAUGUUCCAUGAUAUGGCCAUUUAUGAAGGACUGCGAGAUAGGAAAUUAUAUCUUGGUUAGUAACUCCAUUUUGUCUCCUCAUUUACAUAUUUCUCCAACCAUAUGGGAAACUUUGUAUGUAUGCGCCCAAAUGAAUCUUCUAUAUUUAUAUAGUGGUUCUUUAAGAAUAUGUUGAAAUCAAUCACACGAUUCAUAAGUAAAUAUCUAUUAUGAUAUGCAUCGAGAAUUUGAUUGAAUAUAUUAUGAUGAAUACUUAGAUAUGGUUUAAUCUCAUCACAAUUUAUCAAGACAUGCAUGUGUGAAGACUUUCAUUCCUUAUUUGAUAGAAAAUAAUUUCCCGAUUUUCCACUUGGUUGACCGUCAGUUUGUAGAGUGGACAUUGUAGGUAGAAUGUCAUCAUUGUCCGAGCGGGGAUUGUUACUAGGAUUUGUGGUUGGAGACAAAUGGAAAGAGUUGAAAUAAUGAUAAGAAAAGUAAUUUGUCUCGCGAUGUAUACAAUCGGUGCAUAUGGAACCUUCAACUCUAGCCUUAUUUAUCACUGCCCUCUUUGAGACUCCCAUAAAUCUGCACAUUCGAUCAUUCCACAUUUAUUAAUUUAUGAUAAACAUGCAUCACUUAAUAAAAUCAACCACAAUAAUUACCUUUCGAAUGGAUACAUCCAUCAGUACUGUACUUGACCACCUAUAAUUGCUUCUUUGGCAAGAUGGAUUGGAAGAUGCUCCAUUGAGUCAAAUAAAUCCGGGAAAAAAAUCCUUUAUAACUUCCAUAUGAUAAUUGGAAUGUUCUCAUCCAACUUAACUAAUUCGCCCAUCCUCAAUGUAUUGCAACAAAGAUCUUUAAAGAAUCGACUUAGCUCACUUAAUGGUUUCUAAACCAAACCCGGAAAUGAAUGGAAUGCAACUGGGAGUAAACACUCCAUGAAAACAUGACAGUCAUGGCUCUUCAUCCCAUGUACCGUACCAUUUUCGACAUUGACACACCUACUGAGGUUUGAAGCAUAAUCAUAUGGCAUUCUCAAUUCCUUAAGCCAUUUACAAACCAACUUAGUUCCAUAUUUGGUCAUAGUGUAGCUAGCCUUUGGUUUACCAAUCUUUCUGUUUUCUAAGGGUUAAAGCUCCAAGUCCUUGCGAAAGCAUAAUUUAGUCAAGUCUUCUCUCGUCUUUUCUCUAUCCUUUGUUUUAUCCUUAACAUUCAUGACAAUGUCAAAUAUAUUAUCGAAGACACUUUUUUCUAUGUUCAUCACAUCAAGGUUAUUCCUUAACAAGUUAUCCUUCCAAUAUGGGAUAUCCCAAAAAAUACUUCGCUUUUUCCAAUUGUGAUCCACUUCAUACCCUUCGAUUUCUUUCCAUUUUGCCUCCCAUCCAAUUUCAAUCACUUUUGGGAAAUUACUUAUUACCACCCAUAUAUCUUGCCAUGUGGAAACGGGAGGUGGCUCGUCUGUCACAACCCUAUUUUUUAGGAAACUUAUUUUAUUCCUUUUGAAGGAGUGAUUAGCCAGAAAGAAACAACGAUGACGGUCAAACCAGGAAUUCUUAUGGUCACUUUUCAAGGUGAAAACAUCAAUAUGUUCCAUACAAUGAGGUUAAUUUACCUUGUGUUCCCCAUACUUAUAACAUACCAUAGGCCGGAAAAUCAUUAAUUUUCCACAUCAAGCAGACUUUCAUGAUGAAUUUUUGUUUUGUAGAUAUAAUAUAAGUCAAUAUUCCAUUAGACCGCAAUCAACGUAGAUCAUCAAAUAAUGGUUGCAAGUAGAUAUCUAUCUUCAAUUUAGGAUUUUUAGGUCCGAGUAUGAGACAUGUCAAAAACAAGUAUGGUUUGGGCAUGCACAUUUAAGGGGAAGAUUGUACGGAGUAACUAUUAUUGGCCAACAUGAGUAUGGAGAAGCAGACGCUUGAAUGUAAGGAGUAAAUCCAUUUGAACACGGGCCCAACCUUACAUUUCUGGGUUCCCUAGCAAAGUCAAGAUAUACACCAUCAAAAUGUUUCCAAGCUUUUCCAUCAGACGAGUGGCGAAGGAUGUUGGAACUAUUUUUGUUCAUUUGAUGCCAUCUCAUUUCAAUUGUCGAAUCAGUUGAUGCAUAUAAUCUUUGUAAUCUGGGAAUGAUUGGGAAGUAGAACAUUCUCUUCACUGGGAUACCUUUGUACUUUUCCAUGCCAGUCUUGCGAGGAAUGAACUUAGGAGCAUUACAAAAUUUGCACUCUGACAACUUGUUAUCAUCCUUGUAAUAUAACAUACAACCAUUCUUACAACAAUCAUUCUUCUCAACCUUUAGCCCUAACUUAGAUACCAACUAUGUUGCUUGGUAAUAGUUCUUGGGCAAGCAUUUUUGAACUGGACAUACACUUUUAAGUAUUUGUGCAACAAAAUCUAAAUUUUUUGUGGAACAUGCCAAUUAGACCUAAUUUCAAGAAGUUGGGUAGAUAUUGAUGAUAUUGAUUGGGUAGCUCCCUCAUAAACGGGCUUGUUGAAAGAUAUCAACUUGUCAUAAAACCGUUUAGCAUAUUCGUUGGGAAACUCAUCCUUCGUAAAUUCCCCAUCUUUUGUGUUAUCAUUCAUGUGAGAGAAUCCCUCAUAAGGCCUAAAAGCAUCAUACACCUCUGAUUCAUUCCCUUAAAUUGGUCAUCAUGACGCACAUGCUCACUAUUAUUUGAAUCAUCCCUUGUAUUAACAUUGAGCUAUGCUUCUCCAUGUUGAGUCCAAAUCCAAUAGUCUGGUUGAAAUAUAUCUCGAUACAAGUGAAGUCUAACAUUAAUUGGUGUUCUUAUCUUGAUACACUUGAAAUUUAUACACGGACACCUUAUCCCUCCCUCAGAUUUACAAAUAGGUUCUUUCAAAUCCCACUUCACGAAGUCUUUAAUCCCACGAACAUAAUCUUCUUUCAAUGUGCGCUUAUUAAAAUAUAUUAUAUCAUACAUCCAACUACGGUCCAUUUUUUAUAAAGGCAAACAAUUAACUCGUCAGCCACUAAAUAUUAAAAUAUAUAUUAGACAAAAACGAAUUAACUGAUAUAAUUGUCCUACAACUAAAGAGGAGAACCAUAUAUAAGAAAUAUGUUCUAGAAUUUGUUUUUGAAAUGGAGCAGAUGCUAACUCAUUUGGACUAGAGAUAAUACUAUUGAAAAUAUAUAUUACUAUGCUUGUUUAGUGCUACUAAAACUUUCUACAAUUUCAUUUUGGCUUAUAAUUUUAAGUCUUUUUGAAAAUACUUCAUAAUAAUUAAUCAGUUUAUGUAUGAUAGCUCAAAACUUCAAUGAAAAAUUAAAAAAAUGUAACUACUUGUUCGAGGCCAUAUUCAAAACUAAUAAAUUUGAUAGGCACAGAGAAUCACUAGAGUUUAUUAUCGCCAAUAUCCAAUGCAAGAAACAUCCAUUAAUUAACGCGCUUUCUCUGAAAAUUGGCUUUUAAAUUUAUGAAAUUAGAUAAAUUAAAAUUUACAUUUUAAGUAUGUAGGAACAUUUGAAGGACCUAUAAUGUUUCCUCUUGGUACAUGAUUUUUCAAGUAGAAUUUGAUAUUUCACAAAUAAUAAAAGUUGAAGAAGGCAUCUUAAAAUUAAUCAUGAAACUUGUAUCAUCUUUAUAUCAUAAAAAAUGAGGAAGUUAUGGUUCUUGAAAGUUAACCUUAUAUCUAGGGCACAAACAAAAUUACCUAUAAUCUUUUAUCAUAAAAAUAUAAUUUGAGAAUUUUUAUAAUUAUUAAGAGUUUAAAAACAUUUUGAAAGAAUUUUAAUAAAUUAGCAGCGUAAAGAUGAAUCAGUAGAAAAUAAAGAGUUUAAGGUAAGAGAGACAACACCAGGAAUUAUAGAGGUUCGGUGUCAAAUAAGUGACCUAAUCCUCUCCCUAAUAUUUAAUCCUGAGAGUAUCCAAUAAUUCUUAAGUGCUUUUAGUAUGUUGAACUCUUUAACCCCCUUAUACAAGGAAAAAUAAAGUUUUAGGUUAACUUCUAACCAAACAGCAAACAUCUGAGAGAAACAGUUAGUCUUCCUUCCAAACAACGAAUUGAAGUGGUUAGUCUUCUAUCCAACUUUCAACUUGAAUUGGUUAGUCCCCACACUAAACCAAUAUUUUAAACAAACUUUUCUCGAACCAAAGAGAGCUUUUGAACUGGGAUGAACUCGCGAACCGAACCAAGGUUUUGACCUGGCUAACCACGAACCACUUUGAUUCUAAUACAUGCUUAUCUCGAACCAAAUAAAGCUACUGACUAGGCUAAGCUUACGAACCGAACCGAGGUUUUACACAGGAUAACCACAAACCAACUUGUGAUUUUGAACUAGGCUGAUCUCGAUCCAAAAUAAACUUUUGAAUUAGGAUGAGAAAAUAUUCUGCCAAGAUAAAAUACUCCUUGUAGAAUUUAAAAUACCACCCUUCCAGAAUACAAAAUUUCCUCACUACACAAAGGAAAUUUCUUGAAUUUCUAUGACUAAAAAUAAGUGAGAUAAAGUAAAAAAAAUUAGAGAGAGAGUGAGGAGUGAGAUAUGAUGCUCAUGUUUUUGGAUAUAAAAAUGUGAAGGGAAUGACAUAUAUUUAUAGGUUAGAGAUUGACACAAAAAAAGAAACUUUCCUGAGCAAAAUUUAAUGCGCCAAUCGAUUGGCAUCAUGCACCAACUGAUUGGAAGGCCUAAAAAAUAAACGUUUAUGUUGUUUUAAAAGGUAAGAAGAGAUACAUAAUGUUUCCUCGUGGCACAUGAUUUUUCAAGUAGAAUUUGAUAUUUCACAAAUAAUAAAAGUUUAAGAAGGCAUAUUAAAAUUAGUUAUGAAACUUGUAUCAUCUUUAUAUCAUAAAAAAUGAGGAAGUUAUGGUUCUUGAAAGUUGACCUUCUAUCUAGGGCACAGACAAAGUGACUUAUAAUCUUUCACCAUAAAAUUGACUUUCCAAGCAAACUUAGAUCUUGAGUCCAACAUGAAAGAUGUUUUUAAUGUCAUAAAGAAUAACUUUUAUCUUGGAAUCAUUUUCAUAUGACAAAAAUUGUAGGAGAUAGGGUCUAAGAAUCCCUAAAUUUGACCAGUUGACUUUUCUGGUCAACUUCCUUGAAUCAACUUGCACACUUGAAGUUAAUUUGCUCUUUGGGGAUCAUGGAGGAUCAUAUAUGCUUAUGAUGAUGUAAAAUGAAGUAUCCAUUUAUAUCUUUGACCAAUUGUUGAAGAAACUUGUUGAGGAAGGCACACAAGAUACCCAGAUGAAUUAGGGUUUCCUUGACAAACAAGCUUCAAACUCUUGAUGAAUUCUUGAUCAAACUAACAAAUAAAGAACAUAGAGAUUCAUAUAUGAGGUUUAGAACCAAUGUGGACGUUUUCUUACUUGAUCUCUUGCAUUGAGGGUCUCAAACCCUAGUUGUGAGCUUGGUAAGGCGCAGAUGAACACACACACUACCUACAAAAGAAACAAAGUUAUACUAGACAUAUUUUUAUAUUUUGGUUAGUAAACAAAGAAAAUAAAGUAUGAUACAAUCAUAUAUGAUUGAUGAUCUCUCCCAAUGCAAACCCAAUGAAUGUUAGGUGAGGAGAAUACCAAGGUGUGAUCCCAAUGCCAAUGCAAAGCUAUGAGAUGACAUGAUGGAUCUUAGGGGUCAAAAUUGGAAUCUUACACACCUUAUCCCUCCCUCAGAUUUACAAAUAGGUUGUUUCAAAUCUCACUUCACGAAGUCUUUAACCCCACGAACAUACUCUUCUUUUAAUAUGUGCCUAUUAGAAUAUAUUAUAUCAUACAUCCAACUACGAUCCAUUUUCUAUAAGGCAAACAAUUAACCCAUCAGUCACUAAAUAUUAAAACAUAUAUUCGACAAAACAAAUGGUUGAUAUAAUUAUCCUACAACUAGAGGGGGGAACCAUAUAUAAGAAAUAUGUUCUGAAAUUUGUUUUUGAAAUGGAGCAGAUACUAACUCAUUUGGACUAGAAAUAAUACUAUUGAAAAUAUAUAUUACUAUGCUUAUUGUUAUUAAAACUUUCUACAAUUUCAUUUUGGUUUAUAAUUUUAAGUCUUUUUGAAAAUACUUCAUAAUAAUUAAUCGGUUUAUGUAUGAUAGCUCAAAACAUAUUCAAAACUAAUAAAUUUGAUAGGCACAGAGAAUCACUAGAGUUUAUUAUGUCGCCAACCUUCAAAAUUAAUCGGUUUAAGUAUGUAGGAACAUUUGAAUGCAUAAGCCUGUGAUUAAACAAAGACCAAUGCCAUAAUAUCAUGUCCAAUUUAUUUUCGGCAACGUAUAACACUGAAUGCGCCAUGGAUGUAGUGAAUCAGAGACUCUAAAUUGUUGCCUUCAAAUUAAAUUGAUAAUAUCACUUUGACAAACUCACAAAUAUCAAAUUCAUCAAACACUGUGACAUUAUCAAUCAACAAAAACUAGAAUGCUCAUUCUAAAAUCUUAAUACUUUUCAUUUUUCCACUUAAAAGUUUAUUAGCUAAAUUGCAAACUUAAAGGUGACUUUUAACUUACUUGAAAAACAAAUAUUAAUUUGCAUUUAACAACUCCUUCCUGCCUCCACUAAGUAAGUCAAGCGUUCUUGAAAACCUACAUUUAGAAAAACCAUUAACAAAUCAUUCGAUUAUGGUUUCAGACUUAAAGGAGACUUUAAAUAUAUUUGAAAACAACAAUCAACUUGUAAAGAAAAUUUGCUUCCUGCAUCCACUAAGUCGAGAGUUCUUGAAAACCUAGAUUUAGAAAACUCAAAACCUAUCACUAUCUCAUACACAUGAACCAGAACUCCAUGGAAAUGACUCGAAAUGAAAAUGGAUUCUUCAAAACAGAGGCAUUAUCUUUGAUGAGUCAGAAACUGUAGCGGUAAAUUUUUUGAGAUUAAGCUAUUGAUUAACUUAACUCAUAAAAUAAGAGUCACCAUCGCGCUUUUAUUAUUUUUAAAAGAAAGGGAAAAAGAACAAACAAAAUCCAAAGAAGUUUUAAAACAAAAUUAAUAAAAAGAGAUAAGGGUCAGGGGUUGGUUAUGCAAAGGGAAGAUAUUAGCACCAUAAACAUCUGUAGUACUCUAUAGGAACCUCUUUGAAAAUCUAUGCAUUUUAGCUUGAAAACGAUAUUAUUUGCCAAUGAUUGGGGAGAUGAGAAGAGAAAUAUUUUUAUAACUUUUGUGUAUGCCAAGACUUUAUGAGUCUUAUGCCUACAUACCAACAAAGUGCAUUGGAGGAUAAAACCUCGUAGUUCCUGAUAAAAAUAAAAAAUAUGUUUCUUUGGAUACAUUUUUAAUGAAAAGAAAUUUUGCCAUUUUUAUGAAAAUACUCACCUAGUCAUCCACAAGUAUGAGAACUUUAUAUCACCAUAGAAAAUGACUCAAACUUGGAUAAAGAUUAACAAGUAUGUCACUAGCUAUCUUAGGUGGAAAAUAAUUAUUAUCAAUAUUAUGGGGAUAGAAGAAUCAUAUCUCAACUAUGGAAAUGACUCAUUUCUAAACUUUGAGAAAGAGUUUUAAAAGAAAAAAAUGCACAAAUGACACAAAAUGGUUUGGGUCAGUUAUAUAUUUUUUAGUUUUUUUAAAAUUGGUCUGAAUAUGCUUAAGAUGUAUUAGCAUUUAAUAAGAAAAAUGUUUUGAAAAUCACUUGACAAAAGUCAAGGUUUAUUAAGAAAAUGGUUCAAGUUUGAAAACAAGAAAGUUUUGAAAAGAGAGAGGAGAUUUUGAAAAUCAAAGAAGGAGAAGAGAAGAAGAGAUUAUCCUAGAGUAUAAAGUAAAAACUGGGGAGGAAAGAUCUAACCAAGAGAUAGCAAGUUUUAUAACAUAAGUUAAGCAAGAAUUCUCUCCUUUGAAUUAAGCCUUAAGAAAGCCAAAUAAGUAAAGAAUAAACCAUGCAUCAAAUGAAAUCAGGAUAACCAAGCCAAUUCUUCAAAAGAAGUCUAAAGUCAAUGGUAUCAGAUGAAUCUCAAGGUGUCAAAUCACAAGCUCUCAAAAUAAGGGUCAAGAUCCUAUUUCUAAGUCCAUAACUCCAUAACAAUGCUAAGGAUAGUAACCUCUAGUUCAUGAAUCCAGAUAACCAAAAAAUUUAGGCAUUUUUUCUUUAUUAAUCUCUUUUAAAAAAAAUAAGUCUAAAUGGACAAAGGAAAUAGAGCAUAAAUAUAAACAAAGGUCUAAGUGGACAAAGAGCAAACAUGAUAUGAGAUGCUAAAAUAAAAGCAUAAAGUAAAUAGCAAAAAAUAAAGAGCAUAAGAUAAAUGACAUUAAAGUAUGGUUAAUCCAAUAAAAUAUUAGUAAGUGAUGUUAGUGAUCAAAAGAGAAAGAUGAUUCAUCAUUUUUCUAGAAAACACUCAACUAUUCACCCAUAAGUAUGAAAAUAUGGACUUUUACAUCACCAUGAGAAAGGCUCCAACUUGGAUAAAAUUAACAAGUAUGUCACUGACUCUUAUAGGUGAAAAGAAACAAUGGUUUUCACACAAUACCAUGAGGAGUAUGAGACUUACAAUCUCACUUAUGAAAAUGACUUGCUUUGGGGACAAAUUUAACGUUAUGUUAAGCAAUCGUAAUUAGACUUAUGUAGAAGUCAUAACUAUCUGAGGUCAGUCAAUAAUAAUGUUUGUGUUAAUACAUGCUAUAUAAAUUAUAUGUAAACCAUUCUCCUAAAGUUAUACCACACAAAAAAGGGAAAGAGGAUUGAUCAAGCACAAAGGCUAGGAGAGUGGUCCAUUAUAUCAAUCAAUACUUCAUAGUACUUAGGAUAAACUUAUGCAUCAGUCCAAAGUACCUUAAAUGAUUCAUGAUUAAUUAGGAGGUAGAUUUGAAAUGAUAAAAGUUCAUCAAGCACCAAUCCACAUAUCAUGAACAAGAUGGACACAAUCCAAUUCAUCAAGAGGAAAAUAAAGAGAUGAAGAAGAAGAGGACACGAGAGAUCACACCCAAAUUGGAUCAAAGGCUUGAUCAAGUCAUCAUCAAAAUCAAUUAUCCAUUUUGUUGGAUUAUGGUUUUCACUCCAUCAACACCCAAGAUCCAUUGAGUUUGAUGAGACCUAUGAUCAAAUCAACUAAGAUCCAACACCAACAAAAGUCAAACAAACAUAAAAUGCAAAAAGAUAAAAUAAAAUGCAUUAAAAAUAUUAUUAAAAUGAAUUUUAAAAGGGAAAUAAAAGAGAAAAUCCAUAAAGCCCUUCAAAACACCAAAUAAAUGGCCAAAAAAAAUCAUGGAAGGUUGGAAGUAAAAUAAGAAACAUAAAAUAAUUUUUUCAUAAUUUUAAAAUGCAUAAAAGUAUUUUUACACCAAUCAAAACAAAGGAAAAAUGAGAAAAUCCAUAAAAAAAAUAGAAAAUCAAGAAAAUAAAAUGUGAAAAAUAAAAAUCAGAUGAAGAAAAAUAAAAGAGAAAUUUAAAAAAAAAUGGUAUUUUUUGGAUGCAAAAUGAAUUUUCUAUGAAUUUUAAAAGAAAAAGAAAUUUAAAAUGAAAAAAGAAAAAGAAAUAAAAUAAAAAAAAACUCGCAACGUUGGAUCUGACCUCAUUAAUUGACAUGGCAGAUCCAAUAAUCCUCAAGCUAGGGCGCACGAUGGAAAAUAGCAAAACUGAAACACGAGAUCCAAUUUAAAAUAGACCAAUCAAAAUAUUUCAAAUUGCCAACGUGUAUGGUCAAACUCAGAUGACCUGAAACACUCUGGUCAUCUUCCCCGAUGAUCCCUCACCGAAGUUUCUCUUGAUAAAUUCAGAACACAAGACUAACACCAAUGUGAUCGCCUCCUCAUCAGGAAUUCAACCUCAUGCUCAAAAUUCAUUUAUCUAAACUUAGCGGAGAAUUUCAGAGAAGUUUCAAAAGCAAGCAAGCCACAAAAAAUUAAAUUAAAUGAUGCACAUGAUCAAUCAACACUAGAUAAGUUAGGGGAAAGCAUCAAAGAGUGAAUGACUACAUUAUAAUAACUUGUUUGAGUUCAAAUGAUGCUCAAACUACCUUGUCCAAAUGGUGAUCAAAAGUUGAUGAAGCUUGAUCUGGUCAAGGCACUUCAAGAGGUCUUGGAUCUUGGGAAUUUUUGCAAAAACUUCAGAGAAGACCGAAGAUGCUAAUGGAAUCAAGAAAUUGGAUUGAAACAAGGUGGAAUUCAAAACACGAUAGUUCAAUUUUUUGGAAAAAUUUUAGAGUCAAGUAGGGAUUUCUUGGCUCUCUAAAGCUUGGAAAUGAAUACAACAUGUUACUCUAUUUAUAGGGAAUGUGUUGGGACCCAAAUACGUGUGGAAUGAAGUUCAAUUCAUGCAAAUAUAAAUUUGAUCAUGGUGUGAGAAAAAUGCGACUUGCAAUCCGUCAAAACUCAGCCAAAUGAUGCGUUUUAAGAGUCAAUUAACUUCUGAAGACUUGGUUAAAUAUGUUUAGGUCCAAAACGUGUGGUAAUUUGGUUUGCAAUUGAGAUUAGUGAAGUUCAAAUUUUGGAUCAUGGUGAUUUCUUCAACUCCAAGUCACCAUGUUCAACUCAAUGGGGCAUCUUGCUCAGGAGGGUUUUUGAUCACAUUCUUCUUGCAAUAUGUUGACAUCAUAUCAAAGAUUAAAUUAUGAUAAGAAAGGUUGUAUUUGUAUGCUUAAGCAUAAAGUUAUGGUAUGUUAAAGUUGGCACAAAAAUCUGAUAAUGUAACUUAGAAAAUUCUGAGUCCUAAGUGGUUGAAAAUAACUUAUAAUGUCUUAAAGAAUUCCAUGGCCUUCCAAGUAUAAUUUGACUUUGGUCCUUGAAUAAAAAUUAUAGAGGGAAUCACAAAUGAUAUUUUGCAAAAAGAAUCAACCUCAAACAUUGAAAAUUGAAGAAGUUAUAAUCCUUGAAAGUUGAGAAAAAGUCACUUGAAAAUAUGUCAAAUUUCACUAAGUCCGCAAAUAACCUAUAAUGUCUCCAAACUUUUGAUGAUCCUCCAAGCAUAAUUGAUUCUUGUCAUGUAAAGAGAAGUUGUAGAGGAUAUUGAGAAGAGUCAUAUGCAAAAAGAAGCAUUCAAAAUAUUGAGAAUUGAAGGAGUUGUGAUCCUUUAAAUUUUGACUUCAAAUGUUGAAUUUUUGGUCAAACCUCAUGGAGUAAACUUGUGCACUUUGACUUAUCUUGCAUUUCAAGGUACAUGGAUGAUCAUAUGAACUCAAAAUAACGUGUCCUUGAAUGUCUUUCGAUUGAAUUGCUCAAAGUUUUAAGUAACUUGUUGAAGAAUGCAUGAAAAUAAACACAUGAACCUUUGACUUUUCUUGAGAAAUAAACCACAAGACUUUGAGAUACUCUUGAUCACAAUGAGAUUGCAAGAUGCUUGAUAGCCUUAGAGAUCAUGCUUUGAGAAAUGAGUCCCUUAAUAGUUAAUGGUUAAUCAAACUUUGACCUGAGGAAUCAAAGAAAACCCUAGCUGAGGAGCCAUGUUUGAUACUCUUGAUGAAAAGUCUUACCUUGCACAAUAAAAUUAAAGAAAACAAAACAUAUUUUUGUUAUUUUGAUUAGUCGUUAGAUAAACAAUGAACAUAUAAACAUAAAAGUUAAAACACUAACAAAUAGAUGAUCACUGCAAAAAGAAAACUCCAAAGAUGAAAGGGAGAGGGCAAGGAUGUGAUCUUGUUGUAGCAAGGAUGCAAAUGACAUGUGACAUCUUACGGUUAAAAAUUAGGGUAUGACAGAAACCCUUGAACUCCAUGGAAAGGGCUUGAAACAAAACGGCUGCUUCAAUUGAUUCAUGAAUUAGGAAUUCCGUUCAACUCGAAUCAUAAAUUAGAGAAAAAGUGAUUCACGGAUUAGGGGAAAAUGAGAGAGAUUAGGGGGAAAGAGAUUAGGGUUUGUGAAAUGAAAGGGAUGGAAAGUGAAAUAAAGGGGGAAAACGACGAGGGAAAAGGAAAUAGUGAAAUGAGGGAAAAUAAAAAUUAACAAAACUAUUUUUAAAUAUAAACACUUAUUCACCAGAUAUUUUAACAAAAUUAUUGUGUUGUAGUGGUUAGUGAUAUUAUGUAAGGUAUUUGGCUAUCAAAGAGUCACAAGUCUGAUCCCCCUUGGCUCAACAUUUCUAUUAUUUUUACAUUAAACUAUUGUGUAAUUUUUUUCCUUCGAAAUAGCAAAUUCCCUAGAGUCAGCCAAACGGACUCUAAAUAAUAAAUAAAAUAUUUAAAAAUAAGAUAUAUAGACUCUAACUAAAUAAAUAAAUAAAACAAAAAGUGUAUGUUAUUAAACACCGUAGGAGAAGUUGACUCUAGCUAGUUGAUUUAAAUUUAAAAAAAAAAAAGAGUUAAAAGAAAUAUGUGACUAAAUAGAAUCAGUUACACCAACUCUAAAUAAUAGAAUUAAGUAUAAUUUAAAGUUAAUAAAAUAAGUAGACUAGGGUUAACGGACUCUAAGUAAAUAAAUAGUUAUUAAACUAUAAUGUUAUUAAAUAGAGUCGGUCAAACCGACUCUAAAUAAAUAAAUUAAAUAUAAUAGAACAUGUAAAAUCGGAAAGGCCUAGCUAAUUAAAAAAAUAAUUAGUUAAAGAAAUGUACUUAAAUAGAGUCUCUUAGCGUAGGCUUAUGCGACCCUAAUAGCGUGUCUGUCGGUAGCCAACUCUAAACUAGGACGCUAAAAUGACAUAUUCUAGUUGUGACAUCUCAACCCAAAAAUCUUAAGGGAUCAAGUAAAUGGGUCAUCUGUCUUUAAAAAUCCAACAUUUCACCCAUUCAUAGGCGGUGUGGGACUUUUAAUCACUCACACUUGCACGCCUGAGAAGUGUGAGUCUCUCACAUUCUAUGACAGGAUCCAAUACCGGAUUCAGCUCUUGCUCCCCCACAAAGUCGAGAUUUGAUUGGGUAAUGAAUGAAAUUUGAAACUGAAUUUGAGAAAAAAAAAAGUUCAGUGUGAACAGUUCAAUUUUUGCAGGUUUUAAAAAUGUAUUUUCGAAGACACUUAGAAAAUGUAUUUUCGAAGACACUUCAAAAAUAAAUGAAUUUAAUUGAUAUACACUGACAGUGUAAAGAUUUUUUACACUGUCAGUUAAUCACAACCAUUGAUUUAUUUAAAAUAUUUGACUUUUAUUUUAAACAUUUAAAAAAUAAUACAAACGGAUGAUUGUGAUGCAUUGACAAUGUAAAACUUUUUACACUGACAAUGCAUAACAAUUAAUCUCAAAAUAAAUUAGGACGUUGCUCAAAAACAAAUGCCUCGUGUGUGUAUAAAAUGUGUUUGAAGAUGAUCUCCAAAUUCUAAAAGUAUUUUUAUAUUUUUAUAAGUUGUUAUUGCAAUGGAAUAAAAAAUGGCCAAAUGCUAUCCAUGAUAAAGUAUAUAUAAAGGCUAAAAUUAGAAAAUAUUUAGUCUUUUACAUUGCAUGUCAUGUCCUUUUUCUCGUUGAUUUUCUAAAUCCUAAUUUUAUAUCAGAAAUUAGAAAAUAUAUGUACUUUUAAACAAAACAAAAAAUAAAUAAUAAUCUUGUGCCAUAAGAAGAGAAAGAUAAUACUAAUAUGAACGAACAUAUGGCAUGCAAAUAACCGAGAGCAACUUCCAUAACUGAAAAUGAGUUCCAAUUUACGACAAUGCCACCGAAGUAUUCUCAGUUCCUUCUUCAUUCAAUCUUGAAAAUAACCACUUCUUAACUAACUUCCACACCUUCUUCUCUCUUUCCCCUUCCUCUCUUUCUCUUUCUUCUCUCUCACUCCACACACAACAACAAUGGCCAAGGCGAACCUCGACGGGAACCCAAUCACUCCGUUAUCAAUUUGCAUGAUCGGCGGCGGAGGAUUCAUCGGAUCACACCUCUGCGAAAAGUUAAUGUCCGAAACUUCUCACAUAGCCAUUGUCGUCGAUGUCUCCUCUGAGAAAAUCAAUCACCUCCUUGAUAAGUCUCUCCCUUGGGCCAAACGUAUCGAGUUUCAUCACAUGAACAUCAAGAACGACUCGCGCCUUGAGACUCUCGUCAAAGCUUCCGAUCUCGUAAUCUUUCUUCUUCUUCUUUUCAAUUUCUUUUUCAAUUUCUGGUUCCAUUGUUAUUUGUUUUUAAUUUUUUAAUAAUUUUGAAUGAUGUUGUUUUUGUUGUAGACUAUCAAUCUUGCUGCGAUUUGCACGCCGGCGGAUUAUAAUACGCGGCCUUUGGACACUAUUUUCAGUAAUUUCAUUGAUGCGAUUCCGGUGGUGAGUUUUUUAUCGAUGCCUUUUGAAUACACUUUUUGAGAUUAUUAUGUUUUGAGGAGUAUUAUAAUUGUUGGUGUGUAAUAAUGCAGAUUAAAUUUUGCACUGAGAACAAUAAGCGUUUGAUUCAUUUUUCUACUUGUGAGGUCUUUGGGAAGACUAUAGGUAGCUUUCUGCCUGAGGAAUAUAGAAAGGUACCUUGAUGAACAAAUAAAAUUAGGGCUUAGUGCUUAUUUUUCAAAGUUAAUCGUUUCUACUUUCAUUUCAAUUAAUGUGUAUAGUCAUUGGGUUAUGAGAACCGGUUUGUUAACGCGAAUACGACUGCGAUAAAAUGGUAUUGGAUGGUGCUGAUAUCAAUACUGUUAUUUACCGUUUUUAUGGUGUAAAAAAUUGUGGUUAAUUCACACCGCGAUGACUGCAAUCAGUAUAACAAGACUUAUAACGACCGAAACUAAAGCCUUUACGCGAAUGCGACCUAGGUCAAUGUUUAAAACCUUCAUUAACUAAGAAUUAUUUAGAUUUUCAUUUUGAGUUAGUUCAUAUGAGUUGGUUUUAGCUACAUAUCAAAGUUAGGGGGUGCAUUCAUAUUAUAAAGAAAUCAAAAUCAUAUCAUAUAUAUUGAACAAAAUCAAUCAAAUGCCAUUUUCUUAUAUUUGUUUCUAAGGUAAUGUUAUCUUGUAUCCUAAAGACACAAGUUAAGAGAUAAAUAUAGUAUAAAAUUCUUAAAAAUUGUGUAUUGAAUUUAAUACACAUUUAUAAUUAAUGAUUUUAUUGUUUUUUUCAAUACUAAUUUUUUAUUUGUGAACAAGUUAGCAUUACCUUGUUUCUAUAGUUAACACAAAUUUGCAUGAUGCGCAGGAACCCCAAUAUUACAUGCUCAAAGAAGAUGUGAGUCCAUGUAUUUUUGGUCCAGUUCAUAAACAAAGAUGGUCUUAUGCAUGUGCAAAGCAAAUGACAGACAGGCUAAUUUAUGGUAAGCAAAAAAACUCGUGCUUUUGUGUUAAUUUUGAUAUACGAAGCAGUGAUCUUGAUACCAGACACAAGACUAAGACUAACACGUUGCUGACAGUAUUAAUUUAUAGUGUGGCUAUGCUACAUAGUAAUUGAUAGUGUUAUUAUAAGAUUUUCUUCUUCUACUUCUUAACUUACUCUUGAAUAUUAAUCUAAAGCUGAGCAUGCUGAGAAUGGCCUGAAGUUCACUAUUGUGAGACCUUAUAACUGGAUUGGACCAAGAAUGGACUUCAUUCCUGGUGUGGAUGGCCCGAGUGAUGGUGUCCCCAGAGUUUUAGCUUGUUUCAGUAAUGUAACAUCAGCUAGCUACUUCUGUUUCUUGUGCAUUUCUUCAUGUUCUUAAAAUACACACACCACUGUUUUUCUUAAAAUUUCUUGUUCCAGAAUCUCCUUCGUGGUGAGCCGCUCAAGCUUGUUGAUGGCGGACGUUCCCAGAGAACCUUUCUCUAUGUCAAAGAUGCAAUUGAGGCUGUUUUGUUAAUGAUUGUAAGUUGAGAAGUGAACCUCCAUCUUUCACAUUUAGCUUGGUCUAAUGUAUAUGCUAUCAUGCCACGUGCAGGAUAACCCUAAUAGAGCAAAUGGACACAUUUUUAAUGUGGGAAACCCAGACAAUGAAGUAUCUGUGAAGCAACUAGCUGAGCUUAUGAUAAAGGUAGCUUAUAAAUUAUUCUUUAGAUAAGUUCAUGACUUUGUUUAUUCAAGAAAGAAAGAAAAAACAGAUUUGGCUCAUUUUGUUUCUUCAUUUAGGUAUAUGCAAAGGUGGCUGAUGUACCUGCCUCUAGUCUAUCAACUCUGGAUGUGACUUCAGAGGAUUUCUAUGGAAAAGGCUAUGAUGACAGUGAUAGGCGCAUCCCUGACAUGACAAUUAUCACUAAGCAGCUUGGUAAUCUGUCAUUAAUUCUUUUGAAUCUGUGCUAAUGUAUAUUUGUGUAAUCACAUUGAGUUUGAAGAAAUCAUGAUAGCACCUAAAUUUUGUUGAAGUUUUAAAGUGUAGUUUUUGCCAAAAUUACAGUCUUUGUCCGCACACCAUAAUCAUGUCAAAUUUAUCGUGAAUCCAAGCAUGCACAUAUUAGUCUGCAGAAUUUGACAUUCUUCUUAUUGUUUAUUCUUCUGAGGUUAGGUUGGAAGCCAAGAACAUCACUUGAUGAACUGUUGGAUUCUACCCUUCAAUAUCAACAUCAGACAUAUUCUCAUGCUAUCAAGAAAGAACUCUCCAACCCUUCAACUUGACUAACUUCCAAAAUGAAUUGGAGAUUUAGUUUACUCCUAAUUUUUUUUGUAAACAUGUCACUGACAUGAUGAGGCAAACGGGCAAAUGUAUAUGAUACACUCAUUGUGAGGUCUAGAUCACAAGUCUACUGUAUAUCUAUAGUCAUAUAUCUUCUGUUAAUUCUUCCUGUAACUCUAACUUUUUGAAUGAAAACCUUUCCCUUUUUGUCUUUUGGAGUUAUAGCACUUGUCUUCUUUUAACUUUUAAGCCUCGACAGGUUAAACUAAACUUCCAAUUCUUAACUUCAGUUUAUUUUAAGACAAUUAGACCAGCAAAAAACUGUCUCUGGAAAUCUCAAUAUCAUCAAAACUCAGUAAGUGAAUAAGCCAGACGAAAAUAAUAUUUAAUUUCAAUUGUUUUAUUUAUAAUGGAAAUAUAAAAGGUUUCAUUAUUCUAACAUGCAUACAUGGCAAAACAGAACUUUCGUUUGAAGGGUUUUCUAAGUAGUAAUUGAUGAAAACUUCUUACCAAACUCAAUAUGGAUGCAACUCAAUGAGCUUGUUAUGCUUCAUAAUGUAAAUCCAAAUUAAAACAAAAUAUUCAAGAAAAAAAAAGUAUUAAGUUACAAGCAAAGAAACUGAUUAGAAGUGAUGUUUGUUUUCUAGUUAUGACAGAAAUAAUGCAGCAGAAUCUAUGCAACACCAACUAUGUAAGCAUUCCAAGAAUCUUGUUGCUGAAAACUCGUUGUCUCUUCAUAUUUUAUAUCCUUUCCUGCUCCAAAUCCUUCAGUUCUUGUGAUUUCCGUGGUGUCUGGCAUUUCUCGAACCCAAAAGUGAACAGAUCGAAAUCCAGCUUCUUCUAAGCAAUCCCUUAUCUCAGGCAAUGUCCAUCUAAAUAACAUAUUAUAAUGUUAGAAAGUUGAAAAAAUACAAAAUAUAAACAAUACCAUAAAGGUUUGAACUACGGGAAAACUCUUUUAUGAAUUGAAGGGAAACAAACAAAAGAAGCAACUUACAGCCGCCAGCUGUAUGAAAACGCAUGGCGAAGCUUUCUUUGCUCCUUUUUCAGAUGAAAAUGGAGACUAAUCCUUGUUUUCCGUUGAAUAAUAUCAAAUUCAGCUUGCUCCCAUACAUACUGCAGAUUUUGAUCAUAAGUUCACAUCAUUAAACAAUCAUCCAGGAGAAUAUUCACAUGAAUCCCAUAUAAGAUACUAAUAGAGUAAUUGUGCUUUAUGCAUCAAUCAUUUGUUCUAUUUCAAGGGCUGGAAUUAACAUCAAGAAUCUUAUACCGUAAAAUUAGGAAAUCUUCUUUGAAGCUUCAACUUGUUCUCUGAAGAUGUACCUCCAUAUAAAUCCAUCACGAAAAUUCCACCUUUUGUUGACAAGGCAUCACGAACAUGCUUGAAAUACAAAACUAGAUCAGCACGUUUAUGGAGACAACAACAGCUGUAGUUAAAUGCACACACAAUAUCUCUCCCGUUCAUUGGAAAGUUUUUCGCAGUUAACUUAUCAUCUUGAGCAGAAGAGCUUGUUGGGACAUCCGACUCAAGCACAUCGACCUGCAGAUUCUCUGUAUUCUGUGACAGUGAAAUGUUCCUUACCAGCUCCUCAGGGUCCAUUUCCACAAGUUUUGACUGAAGAGGUUGUAGAACAUUCCCAUGAAAGAGUGAUAUUCUAGAAAACCCAUCAGCCCCGAUUUUAGGUAUAUUGUUUUCCAGGCACCAAGUAAGUGCCUCGAGAUCCAAAUCUAAUCCUAUAGCCGUCUUUCUUGGAUCGCUUCGGAGCCAUUCUGUACUGGCAAACAUAAGUCAUUGCAAGAUAAGUAGAUCAGGAUCGACAUAAAAUAUCAAGAUGUCGAGACAUAUCAAAAUGAGAAAAUAAUUAAGUCUCUUUUUAUAUUGACUUAUUUGAACUUAUCUGACAAGUAGUUAGCAACGAGAAUAGAAUGAGAGAAUGUACCUAAGAAACGCAGUGCCGCAGAAAUCUUCUUGAAGAUGGAGAGGCACCCUUCCACCAACAUACAUGAGAAAGAACUUUUGCAAAUAACUAAUGUCUCCUUUGGGAGACUGCAAUAACAAAAAAGCAUAUUCACCAAAGACACAUUAUGAACUUCUCAAUUAGGUCAAAUAAAUCACAAGAACCACUUAAGAGUUUUUUUGAAUUAACUUAUUUGAACUUAUCUACUAGCGGUGUUUCCUCAAACUCUGUUUGGAUAAACAGCUUAUUAGCGGUCUAUAGCACAAGCGCUUAUCAUGAUAAGCACUUUUGUAUUACAUAAGUUAUUGAAUAAAGUUAAAUUAUUCUCAUCUAAAAAACCCGAUAUAAAAAUCUAAAAAACAGAAACCUGGACAGAUUGUUGGUAAAGGAGAAAUUUUGAAGGCAUAUCGUGUGAUGGGUGUUGUUCAUUGUUGUUGUUGUCAGAAUCAGCGUCAUCUAUUGCUUCUUCUUCUUCUUCUUCGUUGUCAGCGGGUGAAAGCGUUGAAGUAGAAGAGAAGGGUUGUGCAGGGUCAUUCUCUUGAAGAUAGUAAUCUCUUCCUCGUUGAGUUCUGUCGUGUUUCUGCUUCUGCUUCUCUCGCUUUCCCAUUCCGCCGCUAUAAACCAAAACCCCUACUACCACCGUUUACACACCAAUAGGGUCAAUACCAUGUGGCAGUGUCAUAUUUUACAUUUACUAAUCUUUAUUUGAAGUAAUAAACUCUCAUUAAUUUUAAAAUAAGACUUUGUUUGGAUAUCUUAAAAAUAAGUUAGUGAAAUAAAAAAAAUAGGAAUGAAUUAGAAUGCAAACAUUAUUAAUUUUUUUUAAUUAGAGAACAUGAUAAGUUCUUUCGAAUAAAUGAGAUGUUGCGGAUUUGAACUCACAUCUUUACAUAUGAUAUAUUUGUAUAACUAUCAAUUGAGCCGCCUUGACGGGAUGAUAUCCACAUAUUUAAACAUCUGUAUUUGAAUGUUCUAUCCACAUUAGUUUUGGAUUGAAAGGUCCGGCAUGGUCCACUAGUUGAUUUAUCUCGGGCUUAUUAAGAUGGACGAGUUAUAAUUUGAGUCACACUUUUUUGGCUUAGUUCUAUAGUCCGACCCACUAUUAGGGUGUGUGUUAUUCCCCGUGUCAUCCAGUAUUCGGUCCAAGAUAAGUUUGAAAUUUACACAGACCCUCAAGCAUGAGUAGUAUAGGAGGUGAAAUGCUUUUCUCAUACCGGCUAAUAGGUCAGACAUGUACACAGACUCCUAAGCAUGAGUUACGUAAAAGUAAGAUGUAUAAGAUUGAUAACUAAGUAAGACAUGUGAACAUACCCACAAGCAUGAGCCGCAUAUAUGCAAAGUGCUUUUGGGGUUGGGUAUUUUCUCUAGUGAGCUUCUUAUAAUUUCUUGGAUGGGUUGACCUUUGGUUAUGACCCGCCAAUGUCAGUUGGUUAUCCAAAUUUAAGCCAUGGAUUUUCCACUUUUAAUGCUUGUAGCAGCUUUUUACUAAUUAUAAUGAUUAUCAUAUGCUUUGUGAACCAUAAAGUCAUCAGGGCUACUUAUAUUCUCUAUAUUCCUAGGGUAAUAAAUUUUAAUGCUACCAUAUUUUUUUGUCUUCCACUAUUUUCUUUAAAUAUGCGUGUGUUUUUCACUUCUCUCAUUCAACCGCAUUAAUAUGUCUCUUACGUCAUUCCUACCAACAUUCUUCUUUUGCCUUAUUUUUCAUUUCCUUUCUACCUUCUCAUGCAUUUCUUUAAUCCGCUAGUAGCAUUAGGUAACAUUAUGUUUUCUUUGUGAUCUUUUAUCACUUCUUUCCUAUUUAUGGUUUUUAUUCGGGAGUGUAAUUUGCUAGAGAGGGUAGUAAAUUCCCAAAAUCAUUCUGAUAGGUGCACGUUGUGGACCCAAUGCUUGAGGAGUUUUGAAAAGGGGAACGAGGAAGGUAGAUUAGAAGUUUGUUUAGAUGGAUUUUUUUGUUAGUUAUGCUAGUUUAUCUAGUGAUAAUUUAGGGAAUGACUCGCAGAGUGAUAAUGACACUGACGUAGUGUCUUUUUUAUCAGGUCUGGCUAGAUCCGCCAUGGUGCUCUCAACUUCUAACCCAAGCUCUUUUUGUGAAGAGGAUCCAAGUAUUGAUUAAAUAUGUUUUGAAGAAGACUGAGUGCAAGCCUAUUGAUUAGGUAUGUACUUGUAUAACACUGGGAACUAGGUUGACGUGAUAUUAUAGUCGUAUAUGUCAGGAGAAAAGGUAUGCAUGUGGCAGUCUCGUGGGGUUGAUAAUGAGUAUUUAUAUUUUUCAUACUCUGAUUAUUGAGGAUUUGGUGGUUGGUAUUCCUUUUACCCUCCUUCAGGAUAACAUUUUAAAGAUUAUUAAUGUCGCCCCUUCCCAACUGCACCCGAACAAUUGAGCAUUUAUUUAAGGAUUUGAGAUUCACUAAUAGGGCCUAGAUAAUACGCCUACAACCAGUGUGUUCUUCUCAUUCUAUGAGACAAAAGGAGUGAACUUGUGUGAAUGGGUUUUUAUGAGCGCCAUCCUUAGGUGGGUUCUUCUUUCUCCAUAUACUUCCAACUAUAAUACCUUAAAGGAUAAAUUUAUCAGUGUUUAGGGUAAUUUCCAUUGUCACGAGGUCGUGUAUGAAGGGGAUAGAAUCCAUAUGUUUCUUCUUUAUUGGAUAGGCAAACCCCUUACUAUCAUGUGUUAUGACUCGGAUAAACAUAGUGAGAUGGAAAAGAAAAUGGUUAACCUUCUAGAACAGUUUUGUAUUAUGGGGUGUAAGACCUGCUAAGGUAUGAGGGAGGUCUUCUAGUGUUAAUGGGUUUUUUGGGUAAGAUUAUUUCUUGAUAUCUUACCCUUUUCUAAUACUUGUAGUUAGAUAUGCUCAUUUUUUUUGCUUUUUGCAAAAAGGGUGACUCCUUUUUUAGUAGCAAAGAGGAAAAAGAUAAUGGCAAAAGCUAACAUCCGUAGGAGAAAAGUAGAGCCCGUCUAUCAAAGUGGUCAUUUAGGCUUCCAAACUUUGACAACUAAGAAAAGAAAGAAUUUCACAAAGGGGAAAACUGUCAAGGUUGUUGCUUUGACUACUUACUAUCCACCUUCUGCCCCCAAGGUUGUUCUAACAUUGACCAUCGUCCUUGAUCCAGUCGGGGUGAUAAAGAGAUUAAUUUGGUCAUCUCCGUUGGAUUUACCAUGGCCUCAAAGAGGAACCGCCCUAGUUCCCAAUCCUGAAGUUGAGAUUCUUGAAGGUACAUGAAGGCUUUCAUGCAUUCCAGGCAUUCCAACCCUUAUCUUAUUGGCAUUGGGACCUCAUACUCCAAGGGAGAACUGAAUGUCUACUUAGGAUUGCUCUUACCUUGUAAGCCUGACUGACAAAGCUCUUGAUGAGGAAUUGUUGACCCUAGUGUAUUACACUCGAUAAGCCUUCGUCAUUCUAGCCAUUGGUGGAGCCAAUAACAUGAGAUGUUCUUUUAAAUGAUUGAUAUUGUAAGGAGAUACAACUGUUGGAAGACACUGUCUAUGAUCUGCCGUUUAAGUGUGAUAUGUACCUACAAGAAGUACAUAAGGCUUAUAUUUGUCUUACCAAAAUAGGUGACGUCCUGAGUGAUUUCAACCUCUUUGGGUCUUUAGUUGAUUAGGUAAAGUUACUUGCGAGAUAAGUGACAAAAAAGAUAAAUCUCUGGAUUCUGCUCAGGCUUUUCUAUCUGAUACAAAGGCAUAUCUUUCAACCGUUCAAUGAGAUCUAGAGAAUUUAUGCCUUGAGAAUAUCUUUUAGGCUAAAAAAUUGGAAAUAGCGAUUGACGUAGGCAUCGCGUCUUUCUCUGACUUUUUGAGAAUAAUUCAUCACAAGUGGGGCAUUUUCACUCUCUUUUAUGCAUUUUGAGGAAGAAAUCUCGGUCGGAUCAGAUAAUUCAAGAUGAAAAAAAUUUCUUAAUCAGAGAUUAGUCAUGCUCUUCUUCUUUUUUUUUGUUCCUGUUAUACUUGUAAAUGUAACAACCUGCAUUGGAGAACAUGUGUAUAUGAAUUUGAUAUGUGCAUAUCUACGUUACCUGAUUAAGGUGUACGUGUUAGAUCUCGGGUGUACUGUUUCAUGCUUGUCUUUAAAUUACGAGGUAUUUGAUCAUAUUUUGUUAGACUUCUCUUGGAUUGUGCCCGACCAUGGGUGGUACCCCUUCCCCACUUAGGUGUAAACAUGAUUCGAGGUUGACGUGUGGCAGACUCACCGCGACCUCUAUAGUGGCUAGUUACCAAGAAGGGGCAGGGCCAUCAUUGCAAAUUUAGUGGUUUUUCCACUUUCUGUGUGUGCGUGAUUUUCUUUGUGGGGGUUUGCUUGCUUUAAUAGUACUCAUGUGGCAUUUAUGAAAGCACCCUUAAGUCUUUAUGAUGGAGCUUCGUUUUCCUCGGUCGUACCCCAGACUCAUUGUUACCUUUCAGAGCAAAAAAAAAAAAGAUAUUUCAUAAGGAUGUUCUUAUUUCUUUAAAUUCAAAUAUCCUAAUACAUUGAGAUGAUGUAACUUACUUUUACAUAAAAUCAUUAACAUAAUAAAACCAUUAACAUAACCAUGUGGGAUUAGCACUGCUUAUCCGUUCCACCGCUUGUAGUUUGUUGGAAUCAGUCACUUUUUCUUAUCUGGAUGACGUAACCUGUUUUACAUGUGAGGGAAGAAUGCUCAUGUCCCUUGAUUGGCCGGUGAGCUUCGUUGAUCUUCAUAGCUUUGCAUUCCCCUUCCAUAUAAUAUUAUUGCAAGGCAUAGUAAAUUCCCUUAGGUCCAAUAAGGUCGACAAUUAUCAUUAUUGAUUCACCGUGAAGGUUGUGGAACUUCAGUUUGAGGUGAAUAAGAGAUGUUACGAAAUCUAAAGCUGCCACAAAAGGUAUGCCAAGGAUGUAUUUGUAGACGUUUUUGUAGGGAACCACCAGAAACUACGAGCCAAUAAUUCUAACAUCUUUUCUUCCCCCUCGGUAAUCAAUAACUCGUUGUACCCCUAGUGGCAGGUCGUUAUGCCAUUGAAUGCCUACAGACCAGAUCCUUCAUAAGGCCACAAGCUUUCUUCCUUUAGGCUCGUCUUCUCGAAAAUAUUUGAUUAAAUGAUAUCACAAGAUUUUCCACUGUUAAUUAGUAUUCGAUAGAUAUCAAAGUAUCCGACUAUGGUUAUUAUGACCAAUGGGAAGACAGCAUUCAGGAUUCUCCCAACCUUUUCACUAUCUCAGAAUCCAAGCAUCGAUCUUUUUGGGCCCUUGACUGAUGUGUUUAUGCCUUUCUUGUUGACGACCAUUAGCUCUAUGGACUUCCUUUUCAUCAUGCUAUUGGACGUGGUUUCGCUCGUGGGCAGCUUCCGUGAUAGCCGCAAUUUGUUAGAGCUUCCCUCCAUAUGUAUCCUUUUUUUGUUGCUCGCCUUUUUCUCUUUGAUCACGACAUCAACUAUCUUCUCUAGGGACUUGAUUUUCGUGUAAUAAUCAUGGUUCCUCUUAACAUAUUUGGUAUAAUCAAACAGAAGAACUCUCUUGAUUAAGCCCUUGAUUGUAUUCUUCGACUAAAUGCAGCCGUUAGAGGUGUGCUCGUUACUUUUGUGGAAACGAUAAUACCUUAAUUUAUCGGUCUAGGGAGAGCCCCUAAUUCGGUGUUAACACGCUCUUUAUAUAUUUACUCCUUUUGAGGUGUUGAGGGGAGUGUACUUGUCGAAUCGGUUGCGGGUUUCGCAAUUGCCUUCUUCCCAAUGUCGAUCAGACUCCUUUCUGGAUAACCGGUCGGAGCAUGUGUUCGUUGGUUCCUGGUUGUCUCCCAUAGAAAUAAGUUUGUCUUUAUAAUUAAUAAAGGGUUAAGCCAUACUCAAUAGCUCUUUUUGAUUGUGAUACUCCUUAUGACACAUUAUCUCUUUGAAAGAGUUAUCAUACUUCAAACCAUAUUAAAAAAUCCAGCAUUUUAGACUUCUCUCCAAAGUCUCCCAUUUCUAUGGCUACCUAUUGAAGUGGUUUAUAUAUGACUGCAGCUUUACUUCCUGCUCUGGGUAAUUCAUCUAAGGGUGGAUAUUGUCAUAGGUUGCCUCUUUCGGGUUGUGGAGUGGGCGGUAAAGUCCUCACACAAGUUGGUCCACGAAUCUACGAUUCCAUCAGGAAGAUAUUUGAACCAGAUCAUAAUUGAUAUAGUUAUAGUUAGCGCAAAGAGCUUGCACUUUCCCGCAUCAUCAACAUGAUAGUAAUUCAGAUGAUCGACAAUAUGUUUUGUACAUGCUCAUAUUGAUCUCCCUUUUUCGUAACUAUUCAUCUUUGGAGGUUUCUCUAGUGAUCUCGGUAUAUGGAUGUCGAGGAUACAAGAAGAAAAUUGAUGUUUUGUAUGGUCAUUAAUUAGAGGCUUAUCUACUUGUUCCUCAAGGGAGUGCGACUACCUCUGCCUACUUUAGGACUUAGAGGAGGAGUUUGGGGUCUUUGGCUUCUCUGAUGGCUCGAAGAUCUUGGAGCUACAUCCCAGCAAGAUGUGGUCGAUUUAGAGAUGACAGUAUGACUCCUUUGGGAGGUGUCCCCUUUCAUUGUAUUACUCUUCGGAUUUGUGUUAUGCAGGUUUUUUCUUCGAGAAUAAGUAACCUUUCCUUCAUUGUCUGCGGUUUCUAUUAUCGAACCAUGUUCUAAACAUUGUUUAUUAGUUUGUUAGUGUCUUGGAAUCUGAGGUUAACCUACAACCAUUGGAAAUCAUGUAAUGCCUAUAAUAUAUGUAUUAUUUAUGGCUCUGUAGGUCCAUGUGAUGGUUCACUUCGCUGAAAUUGUGGAGCAUAACAUACAAACGAGAAAUGUUGAACAAGAUAUUGAUGUGGUGCGGAUGGAACAUUCAUGAUUACUUAAUUGCUACGAUUUUAAGGAGGAGAAAGUGGUGGAUCUAUCACAGUUCGAGUGGUUGCAUCUCCCUCACAUUGUGCAAUUGAGCAAGUAGCUCUGAAACUUGUCGUUGUUGAUUCACCUAGAUGGAGAUCUGAGAAGCGGUGUUGAUCUUCGAUAUGAGCGGAUCAAGAACAGAGAUUUAUGGUUUAGAUUAAGGAAAUAUUAAUCUCUAGGUUAAAGAAACUUUGAUUUGGUGAAUCGAGAGAUGAACGUUCAAACAUGGAAAACACAAGAAUCAGAUGUUGAUUCCCACAGAUGGCACCAUUGUUAUGUGUAGGAAUCAGAAUUGAUCGAUGACUAGUGGAUAUGAAUUUCAAUAGAAGACUUAAGCUUCUGAUGAAAUGGGAUAGGGGUUGACCUACAAGAUUAUCACUCUAACUCUCAAGUCAGUAUGAAAGUAAUACAAGUGAAUGGAAUUUGAAUUCAAAAUGUACUUGGGAAAUGACAUGUUUCCCCCUUAUAUAGUAGGAAGGUUUUAACCUCUUGUUGAUCUAUUGGCGUUAGAUACAGAGAUCAAUUUGAUUGAUCAUGGAUUGGAAUCAACUUCUUUCUUGAGUAGGAUGGCACACCUGCUCUACACACUGAUCGGUGAAUUUCUCUAUUUCUCUGAAUCGUAAUUGUUAGGUCCUCAAGUCGUCCCAGAAUGUCACGCUUCAACCUAAAAUCACUAUGGACCUUAGAUGUGGAGAUGAGUACUUUAUUGCAAAUCAAACAUUGUCCGUAACAGGAUGACCAUAAAGAUGAUCCAUGGGUACUCCACAAAUCAUUAUGAGGGAUAUGAGUGACCUUGACGGAAUUUUCUCAUCCUGCGUAACAUGACGUAUGUCUAAGAGUCCACUUUGAAUUGGACAAGGGUUACACGGUCCAUGCCCUGUGUUUAAUAUAUACAUGAGAUAAAAAGGACAAUUAUAUACAUAAACAUUAUCACAUAAAGGUUUUGUCAUAUCACAUGACAUUUUCAUGAUUUGUAAAGCACUAAUGUGUUGCUAGAUACUAUAACACCCCAGUUUUUGAGUUAUUAUUUUAAUUAAUUUAUUUGUAUUUUAAUUUAUGUAUUAUGUGUGAUAUUUGAAUUGAUUUAGGGGUGUGUGACCUUGAGGUGGGGGUGUAGAGAGUAAGUAGAGGUUGGUGGAGUUUAUUUAAUAAUUAUAAUUAUUUAAAUAAUUAAAAUAAUAGUAUUUUAUGGGAUUUAGUUAAUUAAAUAAGACUUUGGAGAGUUUGAGUUCAAUUUGUGAAUUCAGAGAAAUAUAUGGGAGGAAUGAGUAAGAGUAAUUGUUAGUUAGGGAGAGAAUUAUACUUAUGACUCGAUUACCUUAAUUAUAUAAGUUUAAGAGAUAGCCUAGGAGAGGGUUUUUUUUAUCAGUACGUUAAAAGAGGAUUAGAGACACAAGGGAGAUAGAAGGUUAGAGCUUUGGAGAGAAGGGAGGAACAAUUAAAGAUCGGAAUUUUUGCUAUUACUGCUAGGAAAACCAGGUAAGGGGGAGAAUUGAUUCAAUAAUGGGUACAUGCUUUAGGGGUAGAAUGGAGGAGUCCUUAACCCUUGUUAGGAUUCUUUAAUUCUUGAUAAAAUUCUGAUUUUGUGAUGAUUGAGUUGAUGUUUAUGUUGUUAUUGAUAUUAAAUUCAUACAUUAUGAUAUGUAUGAAAUUAUACUUUUGAGUUGUGGAUGAAAGUUCACCAUUGUUGUUAUUUUGAAGGUUGGGGAAUGACAUGAUUUUAUGAAAUUUAUGAACUAAAUGUGUUGAUUUGAUGAAAUUAGGUAUUUUGAUGAACAUAUAAUAUGUGGGUACUAUUUUUUCAAUCGAUUUUGGGUGAUUGGGUUGAGAAUUGGGAGUUUUGUCUUGAACUCCCUUGAAUAAGGCGAUAUUCUGAAAAUCUCGGGGGCUGACGGACGUCACCAUUGUGACGGGUAACCCGUCAUGUUGCCCAAGCUUGUCUUUCAAGAUGGUCAUCACUUGAGUGAGGGUCUGGAUGUUGGGGUCAGUGACGGGCGUCACUACUAUGAUGGGUAACCUGUCAUGGGUCUGUAGUAGGUGUAGAUACUUGUGUUAAUGAUAUAAAAAUGCAGAUUUCAAUUUUUCGACUUUAUGGAUGUUUUAGGGUACCGUUGUACUCUGUUAGUUGAUGUUUUAAAUGAUGUUUUGUAUGAUUUAAUGAUUAAACAUGAUUUUUAUUGAAUUCAUGAAGUAAUUGAUGAAAUAUGGAUAUGUUCAUAUGUGAUUAUGAUGUUGUGAUAAUUUCUAGAAGUUGUGGAAAGCGAAGAAGAAUGGAGAUCCUUCAAGAGUGGAAGCGAUUAAAGAUCAACGGAAUUCCGAACUUUUUGUAAUCUGUGAAAAUAUUUAUUUGUUUUAUUUUUCCUUACAGUGAAUUUUACCAAACCCAAACUCUUACUUUUGUUCAAUUGAGUGACUGUUUACUCUUAUAUUGCUGCGCAAUCCACGAGAUCGAUCUUUGGGAAACAUCCCUCUUAUUACUACAUCGGAAAAAAUAGUACAAUUGCUAUUUUUCCGAUCAAGUUUUUGGCGCCGUUGUCAGGGAUUGUCAAAUAUAAGUUUAAAAUUUUCUCAAUUGAAAUUUUGUUGCUCUACAACUAAAAUUUAUUUUCCGUAUUUUGAAUAUUUUAUUUCGAUUAUAUCAACUAAUUUGUGUCUGAAAUUUGUAUGCGAGGCAAGGCCUCAGCUGAUUUUCCUUUUGAUGCAGAAAUCGAGAGAACCUUGCGGGCAAGACUCAAACAAGAUCGAUUAGCCAAAUUGAAUCAGACGAAGAACAACUUUCCAUCCAUUCAAGCUCAGAUUCAGGUUCUGAUAGAGAGAUCGAAACUAUGGCUGAUGUUCCACCGCCACCAGAAAGACUGUUGGGAGACUACGGAGGUGCCAAUGCACAAACCGACAGAUUAACUAUUGUCAACCAACCAGUGAACGUGGCUAAUUUCCAGCUGCACCCGAGUACCAUUAAUCAGCUUGAAAGGAAGCAUUUUACUAGAAAAGUGAAUGAAGAUGUAAACAAGCAUUUGCAGGUUUCUGACCAUGAGCAACACUCUGAAAAUUGAUGGUCACACUGAAGAAUCCAAGAAAUUGAGAAUGUUCCUGUUUACCUUAGCGGAAGAAGUUGAAGAAUGGUUUUAUUCUUUACCUUCCGGUAGCAUCACAACUUGGGAAGAAAUGGAAAAAGCCUUCUUGAAUGAGUAUUUUCUUGCAUCGGUAUUUCUGCGGAAGAGGUAUGAAAUUCUGAAUUUUAAGCAGAAGGACGGGGAAACUUGGGGAAACGCCUACAAGAGAUUCAAGAGAGUCCUGGUAUCCUGCGCAACUCAUAAUAUGGAUGCAACUAAAUAAAUGCAAAUGUUUGUGAAUGGUCUUAAAAUAAAGACCAAACAGCUGAUUGAUACUACAAUCUGUGGUUCCACAAAUUUUUCAACAGCCACCGGUAUCAAGAAGAUCAUUAAAGCUAUUGCUGCUAAUGAGCACAUGAAGUUGUAUGCUAUGUGUCAAAGUAAACCAGAAGGGGUUAUAGAUUUAAAGCUGGAAACUACUAAAAUUUGUAUUGAAGAUACUAUAGCUGCUGAAAUUGAGAAGAAGCUGAAGGCGAUGUGUAAGACCCUAAUUUUGACCCUAAGAUCCCUCAUGGCAUUAUAUCAUUGCUCAUUGCAUUGCCUCAAGGAUCAUAGCAUGUUUGAAACCACCAAGCAUGCUUGUAUUGUAUAUUAUUGUUUUUCUUAUUUGUUUACUAACCAAAAGCACAAAAAUAUAUCACUAACUCUUUUUGUUUUGAAGCUUAAGUAAUCAUGUGCUCCCAUGCUCCUAGGAGGCUCCUAAGCUCAAUGAAGUGUCUAGAUGAGUUUCGAAGAGCUUAAUGUUUAUGUUCAUUUUUGCGUUUCACUUUGAAACUUCAUGUGCAAGCUUAUGCAGCCCCUUGUGCACGUCCAAAUCAAUUACAUAUGAGUUCAGCAUGGAUUUGCAUUCACUUUUGGGCCUCACAUGCGCCUGUACAGACCCAUGCAUAGAGGAUCCAAAUUUCAUGUACACGAGCCAAGCAUUGCCUUGCAUCCAUUCCAGCUAUAAAUAGAAGCUCAUUCUCAUUCAAAUGGUAACCACAAGGAGAUCUGAAACGCUGCUGAAUUGAAAACCAAACCCUCACCUAAAGGAAUUUUCAAUUUUCAAUUUCAAGCUUGAAUUUCAACAUCAUUAGUUGAUCUUCACAUCUCAAUUCCUUAACCUUACAUCAUCAUCA
rnacentral:lncRNA from 1 species